rnacentral:lncRNA from 1 species
GGGGCUAGAACGGACUUACAAUCAAGCUUGGAAGCUUGAAAAACCCUAGACAUGGUUUCUCCAUGCAAUUUUCGGCCUAGGGGUUGAAGAUGGACAAAAAUUGGCUUUUAAUUUUGUUUUUAAUUCAUUUUAACAACUAAAUGACCCAAAUGCCCUUAAUGGAAAACUUUGGAAACAUGCCUAACCAUGUCCAUUUUUGUCCACCAACUUAACGAAUGGUAUAAUUACCAUAUAAGGACCUCCAAUUUCAAAUUUCAUAACAAUUGGACACCUCUAACAUGUAGAUCUCAACUUUUACACUUUUUACAAUUUAGUCCUUUUGACUAAAUUGAGUGCCCAAAUGUCGAAAUUUUCGAACGAAAUUUUCACGAAAUCAUUUUGAGAAAUAUUAGACCAUAAAAAUAUAAUAAAAAUAAAUUUUAUUCUCAUUGGAUUUGUUGUCCCGAAACUACUGUUCCAAUUAGGCCCAAAAUCUAGCUGUUACAUGGCAUACCAUCCUCCUCUAAAGCCUUCGUGGGAUACAUACUCUUUACCGCCAUACCAAUCUCUUCUUCAGUAAAACGGGACCACAAAAAAUCAUGCAUGCCAUCAGUAACAUAAACCAGGAUUCCCUUCAAAAGCCUUGUACUAUCCCCUACCCCUCGAAGUAAACAGAUCUGUAAAAUAACUACAUGCAAUCUCCUCAUUUCCCACUCUCACUCGUCCUUCUUCACCUUUAAGCUGCCCACACAUUUAAUCUUCUUGUGUUGAGAAGCUAUUCUAUGAAAAAACCUCAUGUUACGAUCCCCGCUUCUCAAUCAAUUAGCCCUUGCUCUCUAUUCCCAAUAACGCUCUCAUUUGUCGAACUCCAAAUUAAGUUGCAUUUUCGUGAUAACUAGUUCCUCCAAAGUUUUAUUAUUCGGAUAUGAAUUGUAACACCCCUAACCCGUAUCCGUCGCUAAAAUAGGGUUACGGAGCAUUACCGUAAAAACAUAACUUAAAAAUAUUCAUUUUCAAGAAUUUCAUAAAUAAUAGCAUAAUCUAUUCAAACACGUGCAUAUCGUCCCUUGUUCGAGCCAUUGAGACCUUAGAAACACUUUAGAAAUGAUUCAGGACUAAAUCAGAAUCAUAUGAAACCUUAAGGAAAAAGUUAGGAAAAUUCACACUGCAGGGGUCACACGGCUGAGACACACGCUCGUGUCUCAAGCCGUGUAACAUUAGAAAUAGGAACACACGACCGUGUCCCAGCCCGUGCAUGUGCCUGUGUAACUCUCUGACUUGGGUCACAUGGCCAAGACACACGCCCAUGUGCCAGGCCGUGUAACUUUCGAAAUGACCUCACACGCCCGUGUGCCAGACCGUGUGCUAGGUCAUGUAACUGCCUGACUUGGAACCCUUUAAAACCUAUAGGGGACCCACGGUUGAGACACACGCCCGUGUCUUAGGCCGUGUGGACAAGAAAUUGGCCAAAAUCAAGUCAUUUCUUUCACCCAUUUCCAACAAGUACCUACAAGCCAUAUGCACCUAUGAACAAGGUACCAAAACAUGCCAAAUCAUACAUAAUAUGGCCAUUUCAACAUACAAACAAUUCAUUCAACCAAUAUGCCAAUAAGGCACCUCAAACAUAAUUCAUUCAGAUCUACUUAAACAUAUGCAUAUUUUAGCCAUUCAUCAACCACUCACAUCUAAUCUAUUUCCAUACAAAACUUACCACAAUUGACCACAUAUCAAAUCACAACCUAACAUACCAAAUUGGUUAUUCAAAACAUACAUUCACUUAGCCAUAUCAACACCAACAAUCAAAGCAGCAAAGUGCCAAAAGCACACCAACCAUAAUACCAUAUAUACAUGCCAAACAUAUCAACUAGAUCAUCAAACACUAGUCCACCUAUACAUGCCAUUAUAACUAUGACCAAAAUAUCAAAAUCUACCGAUAUAAUCUCCGGAUAGUGUGAUAGGUCACUGACGAGCUUCCGAUAAUCUAUAAAACAUAGGAAAGAAAAGCAACGUAAGCAUAUAAUGCUUAGUAAGUUCGUAAAUCAUGAACAUAGCUUACUAUUUCCAAGCAAAAUAUUAUAAAAUAGACAUGGCACAAGCCUAAGCAUCAUCAACAACACAAGUUAGUGCUUAAACACAUAACUUAACAAAUUCAUCACAUGGUAAGAUAGAUUUUAUGAACAUAGCACAUUUGAAUUCAUAAUUUUUAUAAACAUGGUUAUACAUAAUUUGAUCAUGAACAAUUAUACCUUUCCAUAAGUUCUUAACUUAGCUAUUGGAGCACUUACUAUUCAUUCCUUUUUCAUACCCGUUGAACCACUUAGAAUAAUAUCGGAUACACGAGACGCUCACAUAAAGUGUGUUAAACAUAUGGUGGAAAUCAUUCAUUUUUCUUUCCCUUUACAUCGAUGCUCACUCGAGCCAAAAAUAGGUCUGCUCACACAAGCUGACAGUCAGAAUGUAGCUACAUGAUGCCGCUCACACAAGCUGAUGAGUAUCCACAACAAAUGUCAAAACUCAUCCAUCAGCAGAACAUUCAGCAGCAACACCCAAAACAUGGUAACCCUAAUGACAUGUCAUUUGUAUCCUAUAUAUUCUUAAGGUUCAAACGAGGCUCGAUAGUCGUCAUAACAUUGUUGGAUUUUCAUUGUAACAUGACAUGAUAACUAACAUAAUAGCAUGUAAAUCAAAUAACAUUAAAACGUUAUUUAAACAUACAAACUUAACUCGAUUUUAAAGAUGUCGAAAUAUGAUCACUAAUCUAAGACUUUAUCUUUUCCCCAAUCUGGAUCCGUACAAUGCUUAAAUUGAUCUAAAUAAGCAAUUUUAAUCCAUUUAAUAUUCAUUCUAUUUAAUUCAGUCCAAAAUUUAUACUGUUAAAAAAUUACAUUUUCCCCUAAUGUUUUAACUUCUUUACAAUUUAGUUUUUAAGCUCGUAAAUUAACAUUUAUGCAAUUUCAUCCAUAUAUCAUGCUUGCCGAUUUACCUAGGGACUCAUAUCAACCCACACAAAUCAUCAAUUCACAAUUUUAUCAUGAUAUUUUACUACUUUUACAUAUAGGUCCCUAUAUGAUAAUUUCAUAAAAAAUCACUUCACAAAAGUUGUUUAUUUAACAGCAAGGACUUAUAAUCUUUCAUAAAUUUUCAAGAAUCAUGCAAACAUGUUCAUGGAAAAAUCCUAAACCUUUAAAUGUUUUGCAAAUUAGUCCAUGAGCUAGUUAGAUUAAGCUACAAUGAUCUCGAAAACAUAAGAAUCAUUAAAAAAAAGAAACAAAAUUAUACUCACAUGCAAGCAAAGACUUGGCUGAACCUUGAAACUUAAUUUUCGAUAAUUAUACUCACAUUCUAAGCUUAAUUUUCGAUGGAUGAAAGCAUUUUUGAAAGAUGACAUUUUGUUAUUCUUCAUUUUACUUAACUUAUUUAUUAAUUUACUUUAUUAACCUUUAACUUUUAACUUAAAAAUCAUUUAAUUCAUGCCCAUAAAUGUCCACUCAUAAUAAUAAUGGUCUAGUUACCAUAUAAAUCCCUUAAAAAUUUAAUUUCAUAGCUAAUAGACACCUUUAACUAAUGGAACUAUACUUUUUCACCUUUUACAAUUUAGUCCUUUUUACUUAAUUAAGCAUGCAAACGUUAAAAUUUCUUUAUGAAAUUUUUAUACGACACUACUAACAUACCGUAGACAUUAAAAUAAUAGAAUAAAUAUUUUUAUGUUAUAUUUGUAGUCCUGAAACUACUAUUUUGAUUUUACUGAAAACGGGCUAUUAUAUAAAUUAUUUAACUCAUCAAGCUUCUGCCGUAAUAUGUCCAUGGUCAUUUGUGACAACCUUUGAGUCUCUAGAGCCCAAUUCAUUAAGCCACAUCUUACUUAUUGAAUUUGAUCAGGUAUCUACCCAUUCGAAUUGUUCCAUAAUUAUCUAACUUCUCAUUCACAAGACUCCUUAAGCAAACAUGUAACCUUAAACUGAAACACACACACCCUCUAUUCCUAUCAAUCAACCCACUUAUAGGUAUUAACCAAAAGUGGGAAAUGGUCUGAUAUUGAAUGCACACAAUGCUGAAGACAAUAGUUAGGAAAUAAGUCCUUCCAUCCCGGUGUUGUCACACCCUAUCAAGCCUUUCCUAGAUAUUAUUGUGAACCAAUCUCCCUUGAUCCCAUGUAAACCAUUGGCUUUCAUAUCCCAAAUCCACCAAUUCACAAUCCUCAAGAGCCGACCUAAAAGCCAUCACACUUUGCUCAUCACUCAACCUUCCCCAUUGCUUCUCAUGAGAAUACAUAAUCUCAUUGAAAUCUCCCAUAGUCAGCUACAAUUUCGCACAUUCAAUUGAGAGAUCUCGUAAAUGAUCCCAUGAAUGGUGUUUCAAAUUCUUUACCGGAUGCUUGUAAAACCUAAUAAACCUCUAAUUAGCACAUUUUGUUUCUCAUUCAAUACUAACAUCAAUAUGGCUUAACGAAAAGCUUCGAAGAACCACCCUAGUUCCUUACUUCCAUUCUAAAGAGAAUCCCCCAUUGUGCCAUCACUACUGCCAUCAAUUCCUCCAUCAAGCAUCAACUUCUGUGAACUCUCUCCAUCUUUGAACUAUGCAGCUUCAUUUCCAUGAAAAAAGCUAUAUUGGGAUUAAUUUUCCUCAGCACCUGUCGAAUACGACAUCUUGCCCAAGGGCUUUCCAUUUCCCGGACAUUCCAGCAUAAGAUUUUCGUUACAUCCGAUUACCUUACCCUGCAGAGCCAACCGGCAUCUCAGAAUCAUGAACAAAGACAUGUCCAUCAGUAGUUUCCCCGAAUCCAUUCUACUAGAAACUAAAGAAAAUUGAGUACUACGAGGCCUCUUCUUCCCUUCUCCAGUCUCCAUUGGACAAUCCUCUUCUAUCAACUCCUUAUUCGGAUCAAGAUUCUCCAAAUCCCCAAACUCAAAACUUAAUUUUCCCCUAUAUUCAAUCCUAAAUUAGCCCUCGCUUGCCUUAAAAAAUUGUGUUUCGAAACAACCAUUGUACUACACCAUGCUCCCCGUCCUAACCGUUACCUAGUGUUUUCUUCAAUUCACCCAGGUGUGGCCCCUUCCCCUGAUCCCUUAACCAUGGACUCGACGCAACCAUCGCCCAUUUAGGGAUCACUUUAAUAGAUAGGUCCCAUUCAAACUCUAACUUUUUUUCCAUGAAAUUCUGUACAGCUUCGAAAAAAAAGGAGGUAUACCUCGUGAAGAAGGAAGAAUGGAAGUUUUUCGAAAGACAUUGGAGGAAUGUAAUCUAUCAGAUAUUGGGUUUUUUGGAAACUGGUUCACAUGGGAACGGGGGCAUUUACCUAAAACUAAUAUUCAAGAAUGGUUAGAUAGAACGGUGGCGACAGAAGAAUGGUUACAAAUUUUUCCUGAAUUCCAGAUUCAGCAUCUCCCGCACACGUUUUCUGAUCAUUGUCCUUUACUGGUUAACACCAAAAAGGAAAGAAGAGAGAGAACACAAAAAAAUUUCAAGUUUGAAGCAUGGUGGGAUUUAGAGGAGUCGUUUUUUGAUGAGGUCAAAACCAUCUGGGAACAAUCUGAGGGUGAUUUCUUAUUCAAGCUAAACAGUAUGAAAAGGGGGCUGGAGCGCUGGUCUAGACAAAUUCGAAGUUCAAGAGAAGGAAGGAAAAAGUCGUUACACUCAAAAUUGACCAUAUUACACUCAAAAUUGACCAUAUGACAAAAAUUCAGUAGAUCUAAUCGAUACAAAAAUCCAAUUGAAUUUAGAGAUAGAAAAAGAUGAACAGUAUUGGGAACAAAGAGCAAGGGUUAACUGGAUAAAAUUAGGGGAUAAAAACACAGCGUUCUUUCACAAACAAGCAACACAAAAGAGACAGAGGAACUUGAUUCGUAAAAUGUAGGAUGAAAAUGGAAGAGAAACGAACGAAUUACAAGAAAUGGCAAUGAUCGCCAGAAUGUAUUUCCAACAACUUUUCACCGCAGGCAGAAGGGCUAAUUAUGAGCAUGUUUUAUCAGGAGUUUCUCAAUGUAUAUCAGAAGAAGAUAAUUUGAUGCUUAAAGAGAGUUAUACGAAGGAAGAAAUUCAACAGGCUUUGACAGAAUUAGGGCCCACUAAGGCACCCGAGGAAGACGGAUUUCCAGCAUUAUUUUCCCAGAAAUGUUGGGCAAUUAUUGGAGAAGAAAUAACUAAUUUUUAUCUCAAUCAUCUGAAUGGAGGAAUAGAGAUAGAUCAAAUCAACAAAACAGAUAUCGUUUUAAUCCCCAAAAUAUCAAAUCCAGUGGAUAUUUCACAUUUCAGACCCAUUAGUUUGUGCAAUGUUAUAUACAAAUUAAUGGCUAAAGUUAUUGCGAAUCGACUUAGGAAAGUCCUGGACAAAUGCAUUAAUCCUGCACAAAGUGCUUUUGUGCCGGGAAGAUUGAUUUCGGAUAAUGUGUUGCUGGCCUAUGAACUUCUCCAUACGCUAAAACAGAAGAGAGCAGGGAAGAAAUGAUUUAUGGCAGUCAAACUGGAUAUGAGCAAGGCAUAUGAUAGGGCAGAAUGGAGUUUUGUGGAGGAGGUAAUGAAGAAAAUGGGUUUUGACUCAGAGUGGGUGACUAUACUGUUAAGAUGCGUUACUUUAGUUUCUUAUUCAGUGGUUAUUAACAAUCACAUUGGAGAAUCUUUCUAUCCAACUAGAGGACUCCGACAGGGGGACCCAUUGAGUCCGUUUUUAUUUUUAUUUUGUGGAGAAGGUCUUUCUAGUCUUAUGAAGCUGGGUAUGAUGGAGAAUAGAGUAAGAGGAGUUAAGGCAAGCAAAAGUAGGCCACCGGUUUCACAUUUACUUUUUGCAGAUGAUUGUUUGUUGUUCGGGGAAGCUACAGAGAGGAGUUCAAUUUAUUUAAAACAGAUUCUGCAUAAUUAUGAAGUUUGCUCAGGACAAAAAGUAAACUUUUCAAAAUCCACGAUUUUCUUCAGCAGUAAUUCCCAAGAAGAGGAAAGACGAACAAUUACUCGAGUUCUUGGAGUGCGAAGGUCUGACAAUAUGGAAAGAUAUCUAGGGUUACCUAAUUUGGUGGGGAGAAGGAAAAAGGAGGCGUUCCAGAUUUUGAAAGACAAGUUCAAACAACGAAUUGAAAAUUGGAGCAUCAAGUAUCUUUCACAAGGAGGUAAGGAGAUUUUUAUCAAAGCAAUUUUACAAUCCAUACCAACAUACGCAAUGUCUUGUUUUUUACUUCCUAAAUCUUUAUGCAAUGAGUUAGAGGGAAUUAUUGCAAAGUAUUGGUGGCAGAAAAAUAAAAGGAAAAAAGGGAUACAUUGGUGCGCAUGGAAAGACGUUUGUUUACAAAAAGAGUCGGGUGGUUUAGGUUUUAGAAGUUUUAAUAAGUUUAACGUGGCAUUAUUAGCCAAACAGGGUUGGCGUCUUUUCAAUUAUCCGAGUUAUUUGUUAGCCCGAGUUUUAAAAGCCAAAUAUUUCCCAAAAACAAAUUUCUUAAAUGCUUCUUUGGGUAACCUACCUUCACUCACCUGGAGGAGUAUUUGGGCAUCAAAAAAGCUUUUGUUGGACGGCUUAUGUUGGAGAGUUGGAAUAGGGAACAGUAUAUCGAUAUGGAAUGACCGCUGGAUACCAGGAGUUACUGAAGACAAUUUACAGAACAACAGCAGAAAUGAUGGAAUAAGAUUAGUGUCUGACUUAAUCAACGAAGGAAGUAAAACAUGGAACAGAGAUUUGAUUGUCAAUACCUUUACUAUGGAUAUUGCGAAGAAGAUAAUGCAGAUUCCGCUUUCAAAAUCAAGCCAAGCAGACUUUCAGGUAUGGAGAGGGGAGGCGACCGGAAUCUUCUCAGUAAGAAGCACCUAUAAACUAUUACAGGAGUCUACUAUAGAUCCUAAUGCUUAUUUACAGACCCAUAUAAAAAAAAUUUUCAGGAAACUAUGGAAUCUAAAUUUGCCUUCAAAAAUCAAGAUAACAGUGUGGAAAAUCGCAUGGAAUUACAUUCCAACUUUCUCCAACUUAAAGCUAAGAAGAAUAAUGACAGAAGAUCGAUGUCUGAAGUGCGGACAGGAAGCUGAAGAUAGUGAACAUGUCUUUCAAAGGUGCCCUAUUGUGGAAGAAGUAUGGAGUCAGUUGAAUUUUUCAUGGAUACUUAAUAAUAGUCAUUUAGAUCUAUGGAGCUGGCUUACCUGGGUUUUCAGUGAAGGAACAAAUGAACAGUGUCGAAGUUUCUGCUGUGGGCUAUGGAUAAUCUGGACAAGUAGAAAUAAAUUUCUUUAUGAAGGUAAAAUCAGUACCAAUUGGGAAUUAUCCAAGCAAAUCAAAAGUUAUAUUUUAGAUCUAGAUGGUAUUAAAGAACGGGAACUCACCUUAGUAACUAGUACAAGGUCUAGUCAGAGGCUACAAAGAGCGAACACGGCCAUCUUCUUCAAUGCGGCUUUUGACUUCCAGAAUAACAGAUCUGCGUCAGGCCUAGUUGUUAAGGAGCCGGAAGGAAGAAUCGUGGUUGCAAAGUCGAUCCUCUAUGAAAAUGUUGCAUCACCAUUCACAGCAGAGGCAUAUGCAGGGUACCAAGAAAUAAUGUUAGGGAUUCAAUUGGGAUUUCUUACUUUAGACAUUCUUGGAGAUUCAAAAACGGUUAUAUCAAAAUGUCAAAGGGAGAAUCGUGACAGUUCAAAAAUAGGAGCAAUCAUCAAUGAUAUUCAAGCUUUACAAGGUUUUUUUUCAAAAUAUCAGGUUCCUCUUCAUACCAAGAACUGGAAAUAUUGAAGCACAUAGAUUAGCAAAAGAAACGCUUACGAAGGGAGAGGAACAAUACCUGGAAGGAGAGACUUUAAGAGUAUUCUAUGAAGAGCAGGACCCAACUCGACUGGUUUAUUCGGAGCAAAGGGAAAGGAGAUAAGUUUUUGGAAAGGGUGAAAGACGUUUGAGAUGAAAGAAGAAAUGUCAGAUACUAAAAGUAAUCAGAGAAACAAAAGAUUUGAAGGGGUUUGCUUUUACUUUUCAGUGGCCUUGGACAGAGGAAAAGACAGCAUGAUUAAUGCAGGCUAUUGACCGUUCGGCUGGAGUUUUGAUUUUUUAAUUUUUAAUUUUGUUUGUUUUUGGGCUAAACUGAUGUAAGGCCGUUUUUCUUGUUUUUUAGGAUUUAAUUAUUGGGUCUAGCCCAAUAUGGACAAUUGUGUUUUAUUUCCAUGUCUAAUCCAGUCGAAUUUCAAUUCAAAAAAAAAAAGACUAAUAUCAUAGUUUAAAAAAAGUUAUAAAGUAAAUUAAUUUUAAUAAUAUCUGGAAGAGGGAUUAAAUUUUGAAACUAUUAAUAUUUAAAAAAAAUGAAGUAAAUAAACCAAAAAGAGUAAGAACAUGUGUUAACUGUCAAAUGUAAAAAAAAACUACAAUAUAAAUACAGUGUUUAUUUCCUUUUUUAGAUCAAAUCUUGUAAUAUAUAUAUAUAUAUAUAUAUAUAUGAUUUACUUUUUAUAUAUUUCACUUUUAACAUUUUUAAUAAUUUGCAUUAUAAUUUUUUUAGCCUUUAUUACUUAAAAAUUAAUUUAAAUUAUUCAUUCCUUCAACAAUUAAACAUGGUGUUAAUUAAUUAUAUUUAAGAUGGAAUAAAUUUUUUGAAUAAUCUCAUAUGUUUUUUUUACAUAAUGCCUAGAAUUAUCCAUAGUCAUUUUCAAUCUAUAAAUAUGAGGAUAAUGCGCUUUAGCACACUUAAACUCACAUCCUUCUGUAUUCAUAUCAAUCGAAAUAAAAUUCAAUUAAGAUGCAAGCAUUAAAUCUCUCUUUCAAUUCUAAUAGUUAUCACGCAUAACUUACUCUUAAUUCAAAAUAUUAUUACUUUUAUUUUUCUAAUUUAAUCAAGUAAUUAUUCAAAAGUUAUAUACAUUUCCAAUAAUUAUUUAACUUAGACAAUCUAUCCAUAAAACUUUUCUAAUUAAUAUUUAUAGAUUUUGUGCAUAAUGAAUUAUUUAUAUAUGUAAAAAAAUAUAUUUUAUAAUUAGGAUUCAUUUUGAUUUGAUUAUCUUUAUUUUUUAAAAAUAUAUUUUGCAUCCUAUUUUAUUUACUUUCUUUAUCGAUGACUAAGAAAACUUUCGCUAGAAAUUCUUAAAUUAUUCAAUUUAAAAGAUUCAAUCCAAUUACAGAAACAAAUCCCUUUGAAUUGAACCAUCUACCUAUUUUAUCUCCUGUUAUUGUUCUAAGCGUAGACUGUGCUCCUAUCUUUGAGGAUCUCUGUUAUAAUAUUUUCCCAUUUUGUAACUCUUCACAUCAUCCUUUUUUUUCCUCUUAAAAUCAAACUAUACACUCCUAAACUUAAUUUUGUUUGCUUUUAUAAUUUUUUUUGAAUGGGCAAAGGUUAAGCUUAUGUUCAUCUUUCUUGUUUAAUUUUAAUCCCCCCAUUAUCAUCAACCUUGUAAUUGGAUGAUAGAUUACUUAAUGUAUCACCUGCAGGACUUGUCGAAAUACAUGCAACUUUGCAUAACAUUCUAACUAUGGCUGAUGAAGAUGUUAGGAAGUCUUUACUUUCGUCUACCAAUGAUUCAUUAAAUCUCAAAGAGACAAAGGCCAUUCAAAGAAGAAAGUCUCAUCACCGGUCAAAGGGUCCUUCAGAGAAAGAAUCUCAAGAGCAAGAAAAGGUGUUGCAGCCUCUUAUAAACGUUGAACCAACAUUUGUAGGAUUAGAGUUUAGGAUCAAGUAUGUGUUAUUGUUGUUGGCCUUGUAUCUAGGUAUAGGCACCCUUUGGUUUUUCCUUAUCAAGAACCAGAUUUAUGGUAAGAAAACCAAUGGGGUCAUAGAUGCUAUUUACUUCUGUGUUGUGACAAUGACCUCAGUGGGAUACGGGGACCUUGUACCCCACAGCACAUUGGCUAAGAUACUUUCCUGCAUUUAUGCCUUCACUGGUGUGGCUCUUGUUGGUUUAAUUCUAAGUAAUGCAGCUGAUUACAUUGCGGAAAAGCAGGGAAUUCUCUUGGUUAAAUCCAUGCUUAAGAACGAAAAGUUCAAUACAGCUGAGGUACUUAUGGAUGUUGAAACCAACAGAGACAAAUAUAAAUUCUUGAUGACGUCACUGCUACUUGUGGUGCUUAUAAUUUCUGGGAUCAGCUUCUUAAUUCUAGUUGAAGGAAUGGAAUUCAUUGAUGCUUUUUACUGUGUAUGUUCCACAAUGACCACCCUUGGGUAUGGGGAUAAAAGUUUUUCAACACAAGAGGGACGUAUGUUUGCUAUUUUGUGGAUACUGAGCAGCACGAUUUGCUUAGGUCAGUUCUUUCUCUAUCUAGCAGCGCUAUACACUGAGAAAAGGCAAAGAUCACUGGUUAAAUGGGUUCUUAAUAGAAAGCUAACUCCUUCAGACCUUGAGGCAGCAGAUAUGGAUCACGAUGAGGUAGUAAGGUAAAAACUUCGCAUCACAUACGCACAAACCAGCUAGGGCUUGCAUGCUGCAUGCUGCAUGCUGUAUAUUGCAUAUAUUAUAUAUAUGAUGAUUAUUUGUUGUGAAUUAUCUCUAUCACAGUUCUGCAGAGUUCAUAUUAUAUAAGCUGAAGGAAAUGGGAAAGAUUUGCCAGGAUGACGUUUUGCUAUUGAUGGAAAGGUUCAAAGAUCUUGAUGUUGAUCACUCGGGAACUUUGACUACAGAUGAUUUGAUUUUGUCCUAACACCUACACCACAAAUUCUGAUAAAACUGACUCUUAACUAGUUUACCACUGUAAUUAUCAAAGUUAUUGAUCAAGAAUUCCAUGGAUAUUCUUUAACAUUUAAAGACUUGUUUCAAUUUCCUAGGCACUUUUACAGCAUUUUAAGGAACAAUAUAUGGUUGUGGCUUAGAUUAUUUCAAUUUGGCUCAUCUAGAAAUGAGAAAUAUAUGAUCUCAAAACAUGUUACAAAUAAUGUCAUGUAACUGCAACUUGUUAUAUAAAGUGUUGUUAUUUGAACAAUUACAUCUGUAUAGCACGGUGUCAAAGAACACAUAUAGAGAGAAGCCAACUCCAUGUACGUACAGCAUUAUUCCGAAACAUACAGUAAUUUCCAGGUAAAUUGUACAUUGCUUUCACAUUUUGAAAAGGGGAAGUUAAAAGAAGAUUACAGCUUUUAUAUAUGCAGUGAACUAGUUCACUCAAAUUUCUGAGGCUCCUGAUCUAUAUGCUCCAGCCGGGCUGCGGCAACGUAGUCCAACAGUCCUUCACCCGCUUUUUCACCAUGAGCUUCAGUCGCCAACUGUGAAACGCCACCGAAAGCCAUUAUUGCCACCAAUAAUACGGUGGUUGAAGCGAAAAGAGGCCAAAAGUAGGCGAGAAUGGUGAGCAUGCUAGGGGCUACAUAUGAUAGGAAGGCGAUGAUGGAUGAGACAAAGAUUGCUAAGAUGAAAUGAAAUCUGUAUUGGUUCAGCUUUUGUUGGAUACCCAUUGGCUUCAUUGCUAAGCAAUAAAAAAAAAAUCAAAGGAAGGAGAAUAAUGGUGGAAACAAUUGGUCACUAGGCUACCUCUUUUUCGUAUAUAUGAUGUUAUGUGGAAUUAAUAUAUUAAGAUUGUAGAAGAUGGUGGGUCUUAAGACUUGGAGACUUGUUUAUUUAUUUAUUUAUUUAUUGCUUUCUGCUUACUUUAUGUCUUGUUUUCCUUGGGAGAGAUUCUUCUUUUUUCCUAAAUAAUUCUACUUAUAUUUUGGCUCUAUUUCUCUAAUUACAUCCAUGGCCCUCUCCUGGUUUUGUUCACUCACAAAGUCUUUCCAACUUUAAAGCCUAGGUCUAAUUCUAUCACCAGUGUCUGUACUCUUUGAACUUUAGAAAUUUAGUCCCUUUGUUUCUAAUUUCAUGGAUUUAUUUAUUUGCUAAACCAAUUCUUUCAUUACAAAGCUAAAAGGUUCCAAACCAGCUUAUUGUUGAACACUAAAAUGCAACCGAGUGGCCACAGCUCUGAUGAAACACCUUAAGAGGACAGAAAACAAAGUUAUCAAUUAGACUUUUAAGUUUUGGAUCAGACAAUAAAAGAGGGUCUAAAUUCUUAAAAGUCUAAAGAGUAGAGGGGCUCUCUAGUUAUAAUUAAACGUAAAGUUCAAAUCAAACCCAAUAUGAUUAGGAAGGGCAGAAUAGAGAAUAAGGAAUGCAAUGUAUUGGAAUAUAUGCUUUGUCCACUACUAGGGUUGGGCGGUUGCUUUGUCCCUAAAUCGAGUGGACACCGCUUUCUGCUUGAAAGUAAGAUUAAGAUUAGAUUAAUAAAUAUGAAAGGAAAGGCAUAUAUAUUGCUUUUUCUUAUCAUUUCUGCAACAUACUUAUGAGUUAUUUAGAACAUAGAUUAGAUGUUGAGACAAGAAGAAACUAGAGGCCCCUGCUUUUGGUAUAUUCUUUACUAUUCUAUGUCGGCUAAUGGCCCAAUCCAAAUAAAAGGUAACUUUUGUGGGACGUGGAGGAGGAUGAUUACAUUUAUUAUUUUUUUUUUUUUUGGAAGUUAGAAAAAAAUUUUGGUAUCGAAAUUAAAUAUAUAUUUUUACGAUAAUAAAAUUUUAUCAUAUUUAGGAAGUCAAAGUGCAAUUUUACUAGUACUAAUUUUAAAUUUUAUAAAUUAUAAAAAAAACCUAAAUUAAAAAUUUUUCAUUUUAAGGACCGGAGCCCCUAACCCUAGCUUCGCCACUGCCUUUGAAGGCUUUUUAACCUAUUCUCAUAUAUAAAAUAUAUAACAUAUUCACUUUUUAUUUUAUACAUUAAAAAAUUACAUAAUAAGACAUAAAUUAAUAAUUUUAAAAGAUGGGUAAAAUUAGAUGGUGGUCCGACUUGAAGGCCCUUCCGAAAAAUAGGAGGGUUUAAACAAAAAUAUAAGCUUGAAAAAUGGGCUUGAAAAAAAAAGAUCCGUUUAGAAAAUGGGUCAAGUUUCAAGUAAGGUUUUUUGGCCCAGGCCUAACCUGAAUUUGCAAAAAAAAACUAUUGUUUUGCUGCUGUUUUUCCACUGUUUUACUGCUAUUUUCCCACUGUUUUGUUGCUACUAUUUUGUUGUUAUUGUUUGGAUAUUGUAUAUAACUCUUGUUUUUAUUGAUACUUUUACUAUUAUUUUAGAGACAUUUGCUUGUUAAGUUACACCUAUCUUAGUGCUAUUUAAGUAUAAAUAUUUUUUAAAUUUAUUUUCAAUUUGUUGGGAAAUAUUUAUUUUAAUGUUUUUAGUAAUUUUUUAUGUAUUCUAUUUUUUAUUUUUAUAUUAAAAAUAAAAUAAAAUAAUAAUACGAGAUGGACCAAACUUGAAUAAAAAUUUAGACAAACCUAAAAUUUUAUUAGGACUCAACCUGAAUCUGACCUGACCCAUAAACAAGCAAAACAAAAUAAGCAUUUCACAACUAUUCCACUCCACAACAUGGACUCUCAUCCAAGCAUGUCAUACUUAGUGAGGAACAACUUGUAUCACAAUUCAUGCCAAUUUACAAUGUAUUGUUUGCGUAUAAAUUAAAGGGUAAAUUGUAAAAAAAUUGUUUGUUUCAAGUUACGUUUUAGUUAUUUAUGUUUAAAAUGUUAUGUUUUAGUCACUUAUGUUAUCGUUUUGUUACGAAGUACUCACUCUACCGUUAAGCUCCGUUACGUCUCUAAAGACAGUCCAAAUGAGUUUUAAAUGCCAACUUGGAUGUCCUACGUGAUAGUCCAAAUUAAAUUUAUUUAAUUAAAAACCUAUUUUCAUCCCAGCAACUGAACAUCCCAGUUGGUAUUUAAAACUCAUUUGGACUGCCACGUAGGACUGCCGUUAGGGAGGUAAUGGAGUUCAAUGGUAAAGUGACCACUUUGUAACAAACCGAUAACGUAAGUGACUAAAACGUAACAUUUCAAACAUAAGUAACUAAAAUGUAAUAUGAGGCAAGUAAAAGUGACUAUUUUUAUAGUUUACCUUAAAUUAAAAGUCGAGAUGAACUCAAAAUACUCCAUCAACAUUUUUUUUCUCUAAAACCAUAAAAAUGGAUUGUUAAUGAUGGGAAUUGGCAUGGGCCACUAAACUUGAAACGGGCUAAACGUUGAAGCUAUAAAUUGUAAUCAAUAGUAAUGGGCCUCUCUCAACCCAAACUACAAGAGCUACCAUACAAUAAUUUACCAACUCUCAACUUAAACCUAACAGAAACAGAAAAAGACGUGAUCGCAAUUAACAUCGCUUUCAAAUUAAGAUUAGUGGAGAUUUCAAUUAAGCUAUGAUUAACAUAAAAAACCCCUUAACCUUAAGCAAGGUUUAAUUGGUUGUUGGUGGGGGAUUGGCUUGGUAGAGUUUGAAGUCUUCCCUUUGUCGCCUACCUAUGUCCAAAUUGGCUUAUCCGCGUUAACCCCUAUACCAGCUGGACCUCCUCUACUUUUCUUCACAUAUCGAAUACCCUAUCUCCAAUCACACUUUUAAGCAAAGAUGAGUUUUAUAUCUUUUAGUUUUUCAAUGCAUCCACAAAAACAGCAAGCUCAGUAAUUAAUUUUUCACAUUUAGUAAACCCAUUAAUCACGAGUUUUAAAACUAUCUCAUAGUUAAUAUAAGAAUCGAAUCCUUAACUAUUGAUAUAAUAAAUAUUAAACCAAUAGAUGUUUUUUUUAUGAGUUUCAGAUAAGGGUCAUUAUCUGCAUAAAAAAGAAAGAAAGAAGGGUCAUCAACACCUCAUUAACUUGGUCUCAAUUCAAACAGUGUGUUUGAGUGCCUUCCACUGAUACAAACAAAAGAACAACACCUUGGUUUCAGCAAUAUUUAGCGCUUAAGGAAUCCAUUUUUUUCCAAAGGAGGACAUUUCCAUCAACCUAGGGAGGAUCAUGUCAUAUAUCUCAACAACUCCUCUCUUCUCUAUAUCUCUACUUCUUUUUUUGUUUGCUCCAACAUAAAUCAAUAGCAAAUAUUAAAAGAAACCCCGUUUUGAAAGGGUUCAGAAAAUAAUACCUCUGCUUACUUUCAGCUGACAUUCCAUUUUAAUUCCUAGACAACUUUUAUCCAACAUAGCUAAACAUAGAGCGUGGAAAAGAAUGACAACGGAGCAAAGCAUUGCAAAUCAUAAACAAGAUUAGAAUAAAGAUAAAUUAAAUUUUCGAUUAUUGACUCAGUUCUUUUUAGAUAUAUCUGUCAUACACUAAGUUUGCAGCAAAUGGCACCAGCUAAUACAGUAUUUGUUAUAUAAAUAAAAUUUGAUUUUUGGAAAGUAUACGAUUAGGUUAAGUGGUAAUUAGUAUUAUUAUAUUUAUAAUAGAAUAAAAAAAGAAAAGAAAAGAAAAGUAAAGCGGUCAUAUUUAUGAUAAUGAAUCAUAAAUCAAAUGGAUGGUCUAUGAUUAAGAGAAAGGAAGUUAAAAGCUGGAAUCAUUGUCAUGAUAAUGACAAUAAGAAUGAAAUUGAAUGUUACUGUUUAAAACAAUGAGCUUGGCCGGCUUUAACAAUUUUCAGUGGCUUGCGACAUUUGCUUAAGAUUAAGGGAAGCUUUCCUCUCUUUGCGGUCAAUUCCUUCAAGGGAUGGACUCUCUCCCUUUCUCUAACUAAAUCCUCUUGUGUGUGUAUCUAUAUAUAAUCAUUUCUAUAUAUUAUUCCCUAACAAGACAACCCCAAGUCCUAAGUCCUCUGUUGUUGUUGGUGUGCUGGUAUUUUAGUUGGGUGCAUUAUCAAGUGCCUGAAACAUAAACUCAAAACUGAAAUGGUGUGUCCUGAGGAAUCAUUUGGAGGCAAUGAGAGCUCUUUUGCUUACCUUCAUCCUAACCCUGUUGUGUUAGAGCUCACCCGAUUGCAGAACCAACUCAAAGGUACUUGAUACUGAAACAUGUUAAUGGAUUGUUAGAUCUGUAAGAAAAGGAAGAACAACACUAACAAUUUAUGUAAUACUACUUGUCAUGUUAUGUUACUUAAUAUUAUUCCAGAAAGGGACAGGGAGUUAGGAGCUGCCCAGGCUGAAAUCAAAGCUUUGAGAGGAACUGAAGCACUGAAGGAUAAGGCCAUACAUGAGGUACUGAAAUUAAGAAUAUAUGCUGUAGUUUGAGUACUGUAAUUAUUCUGAAACUAUUCAUUUCUUUUUCUUAUUUUCAGCUCCAGGGUGAAGUUCAAAAGUUGGAUGAGAAACAUCGGGUCGCUGAGAAUAUCCUUCAACAUAAGGUUAGGUCCUGGCCCCUAGUUCUGUACUUAUAAUGUUUAAGUAAUGGUGCUGAAUUAAUCCUAUGCCACGUAGAACCUCGAAAUCAAGAAACUGACGAAUGAGAAGAAAGAUGCAAUGGCUGCACAAUUUGCUGCAGAAGCAACUCUUAGAAGGGUGCAUGCAAACCAAAAGGAUGAUGAUGAUGUUUCUAUCGAAUCCGUCGUUGCUCCUCUUGAGGCAGAGAUAAAAAUGUAUAAGAAUGAGGUAGGCACAGGGUUGUGGCCUUGUUUUCUGCUUUGUUGCUCCUACUUGACUAACACUCUACUUACAGAUUGCAAUGCUACAUGAGGAUAAGAGGGCGUUGGAACGUCUUACUAAGUCGAAAGAGUUGGCUCUGCUCGAAGCAGAGAAGAUUUUGCGAAGUGCUUUAGAAAGGGCUUUAAUAGUUGAGGAGGUUCAAAACCAGAACUUUGAGUUAAGGAGACAGAUUGAGAUUUGUCAGGCAAGUUUGAGGCUCUUACUGCAGUCGGUUACUAUUAAGGGAUUCAAGACCCUUUUUAACCAAUGAAAAUUGUGUCUUAAUGCAGGAGGAGCACAAAAUCCUUGAGAAAACCAAUCGCCAAAAGGUCUUAGAGAUUGAAAAGCUAAGCCAAACUAUUCAAGAACUCGAGGAGGCGAUUUUGGCUGGAGGGGCUGCUGCUAACUCUGUCCGGGACUAUCAGAGACAAAUUUCGCAACUUAAUGUGAUGUUCCAUUCCAUGCUUACAUGCUGAUCAUCAUCUUUUCUACAUGAACUAUGGUCAUAUGUUGUUCAUAUAGGUAUUAACUGUAAUGAGUCAAUUAAUUCAGGAAGAAAAGAGGACGCUCGAGAGGGAGCUUGCACGAGUUAAAGUCUCGGCCAACCGUGUAGCGACCGUGGUGGCCAAUGAGUGGAAGGAUGAGAAUGACAAGGUAAUGCCUGUCAAGCAAUGGCUGGAAGACAGAAGGCUGCUGCAGGUAAUUCUUGGAAAUUCUCAGCGUAUUUAGGGCUACUUUAGCAUUGCUAUUGUGGUUUAAAAGUGCUUUUGAACUGUGAAAAGCAGUACUAAACAGUAAACAUACCCUUAAUAAGCUAACAAAUGCAAGUGAAUGGAGAAAAUUUUCCUCUUCACUGUAACUGCAACUUAAAACAAUGCAUGAUCAUAAAUAUAAGGAUUAUGAACCAGAAAACUGCUACCCUCAAACAUAAUUUUUUUAUGUUUUAUUUGGAACUAAAUUUCUGUAUUUAUAGGCAGAGGUGCAAAGAUUGAAGGACAAACUAGCUGUGUCAGAGAGAACAGCAAAGGCAGAAGCACAGCUUAAGGUGAAAUUUGACAGUUUAAAUUAAAUUUGACUUAAAUAUUAAUGCAGACAGUAUUUUCUCAAGCUCAAUGUAAAUAUGGUCCAGGAGAAACUCAAGCUAAGGCUCAAAAUAUUGGAAGAUGGCUUAAAACAGGCAUCAAGUUUGUCAGUUAAUGCAUCUUAUGGGUCCCCAAAACCAGACAAGUCCAGCAAUAUAUUAGGGCUUUUAACAGGCAGCAGUGGACCAAGGAAGAGGUCUACCUCUCAACCAAGGGCUUCUACCAUCAGUGCCACUCUACUGCAGCGGCCAAGUGUAGAAACUGAAACAGCCAAUACCAGAAUAAGACAAGGUAGCAGCUUGAGAAGAAGGCCUGUAUCAGAAGAAAAUAUGGUGAGAAAAAAUUUGUGGGCGUCUAGGUGUAAGGUUGCUGAUAGUAGUGAAAAGGAAAAUGCAGAAAAUAAGGUCAAUGAACAGACUGAAAAGAAAAACAAUGAAGAGAACGAAAACAGAGGGAAUGCGGAAGAUAUGGUUUCAGGGUUUUUGUAUGAUAAGCUUCAGAAAGAGGUCAUUAAUCUAAGGAAGUUUUGUGAGGCUAAGGAUAAUAGCUUGAAUGCUAAAGAUGAAGAAAUAAAGGUGAAGCGUUUGUAACUGUUUCCUUCUUUAUGUACGUAUGUAUAUAUGUAUGUGUUACUGAAAGAUGUAAUUGUUUUACAGAUGCUGAUGAAAAAGGUUGAAGCAUUCUCAAGAGCCAUGGAAAUGGAGUCUAAACGAGUGAAGAAGGAAACACAACUUGUUAAAGAAAAGAAGAAUGGAUCACCCAAAAUGGAGGAUACCAAAAAGGUGAAAAACAAUAACUGUAGAAGGUCUUGAAGAUUGGCAAUGGAAUUCAUUUGAUUGGUUGGAUAUGAUUGUGAUUGUAAAUAGUGACUUAUAAUGUUGUUUUUUGGAUGAUAAUUAGCUUAGUUAAAAUAAAGUUGGUUGUGAAUGAUGAAAAUUGGGUUUGUAAUGGUAAUUGUAAAAGAAAAAGGGUUGGAGAUUUGUUGAUGAAUUAUAACAUCCUAGCUAGGCCUAGGAUGAUGAUGAUGAUGAUGAUGAUGAUGAUGAUGAUGAUGUAGUCCCAAUUGCGUUUUCUAAUGCUUGAGGUUGACAUAAAUAUUAUCCCCCUGGUUUCUUUUCUUUCCUUAACUGCGCUAAAUUUUUGGGGUUUGGACGGUCCUGCUAGCCUAGACCUGUCCAUGGGCUGGGCGGCCCGGCCCGGCCCGACGGCCCGCUCGAAAUAUGAGAGGGUUUGGGUAAAAAUAUAGGCCCGAAAUAUGGGCUUGGGUAAAAAAACGAGGCCCGUUUAAAAAAUGGACCGGGCUUGGGCUCAACUUUUUUGGCCCGGGCUCGGCCCGGCCCGGCCCGAAUAUAAUAAAUAUAUAAUUUUUAUUUUUAUUUUUAAAUUUUAAAAUACUUUUAAAAUAUUUUUAUUUUUAUUUUUAAAAUAUUUUUUUUGUAUUUAUUAAAAAUCGGGCCGGGCCGGGCCGGGCUCGGGCUUACUCUUUUUUUCCCGGGCCAGGCCUAGGCAAAAUUUUAGGCCGAUAUUUCGGGCCGGGCCGGGCCCGGGACUAAGAGUCGGCCGAAAUUUUUUUCCGGGCCUGGCCCGACCCGGCCCAUGGACAGCUCUAUGCUAGCCUCAUCUCCACUUUUAUAAUUAUCCAAUUGGAUUCCCCAUCUUGUUUCUAAUUCGAUUUUAUAAUAAAAAAUAAAUAAUUAGUGUGAAUCCCAAACCCUAAUUUUUUUCCCUCCAAUUCGUUUAUUUUUUCUUUUUUGUUUUGUUUGGCGGUAGUGCUAAUUUUUGAGUUAGUAUCGUUAGUUUUUUUUCACUCUCCUAUUGUUUUUUUUCUGUCAUUUACUCUAUGUAUCUUCUCUUUUUUAUGGAUUUUUUUUUGUCUUCAUAAGUUACGAUGGAUAGAUACAAUACCUGUGGUCGUUGAAACUCCACCGAUCUCCUGCAGUUUCUCAUGAAAAGUGGGUAACUCUUCGUCGGCUUCUUAAUGCAUUUUUGUUUUAAGAAUAUUUCAGAAUAAUAAAUAAUUUCACGAGUUGGUUUGGACUCAUAUUAUCUUAAAUUUUGUAUAUUUUUUUUUGUUUUCCAUUGUUUAAUAAGUAUUUACUUUUAGAAGUUUUUGUUUUUGUUUGCUAUUGUAGCACGUUUUUUAAUCUUGCUUAUGCAAGUGAUUUUAGGGAUGUGUUUUUUUGUCGUCCUCUCCAGUAUGGUGGAUGGUCGGUUCUUUCGCCGAUUUUUGCCCACCGCUUUGGACCAUCCUGAGUUGAUUUUCUUAUCAUAUUAAGUGCUUGCAAUCACUCCAAAAAUGGCAUGCUUGAGUUGUGAUAAGACUAAUUGUAUACAUGCUGAGACUAAAACCUUUAUUGUGUUGAUGGAGCUUGCCCUUCACCACUUAGGACGAGUGUUUUUUUUUUCUGAAUCAUAUGAUCCCAUUUAUGGAAUGAAUUAAUGAAUUUCCCAUUAAAAAAAAUAAAUACUUUUUGUUGAUGGCAUAUUUGAAAAUCAUAAUUUGGGUAAAAAAUUUUGGAUUUGGAAAUCCAAAUAUUUUAUUUGGAUAACAAAUAAAAUGUUGUAUUUGAAUUUGCGAAAAUAAAAGUUCAAUUUAAUUUUGGAUUUUCAAAUUCAUUUUAAAAUUUAAAAAUUUCAAAAUUAAAGAUUAAAUAGAAAAACAUGAGAACUUUUUUUUGUAAUAGCCCGUUUUCAGUAAAAUCGGAACAAUGGUUUCGAGACCACAAAUCUGAGUCUGAAAAAAAAUAUUUUAAUAUUAUUUUAUGGUCUACUGUAUGAUAGGAAUAUUGUAUGAAAAAUUUGUUAAGAAAAUUUUACUGAUUACAUGUUUAAUUGAUUAAAGGACCAAAUUGCAUGAAAUGCAAAAGUUGAAUUCUAGUAGCUAAAAUGAUCAAAUAGCUAUGGAAUUCAAAAUUUGAGGUCCUUAUAUGAUAAACAUACCAUUAAGAGGAGUUAGUAGCUAAUUAUGAUGAUUCAUCCAUGGAAAAUUAAAUAAAGAAAAAGACUAAAUUACAAAGAUGAAAUAAUAAAAGAUGAUAUUCUAAUUAAAUAAGAAAUAUCAUCAUUUCAUAUCAUCUUUCCCAAAUAAAAAAAAAACAUGGAAACCCUAGUUUAGAAGAGCUUGAAGAUAGCAAGUUAUUUUGGCUCAAUUAGGUGAGUAUUCAAGUCCCGUUUUUAAUAAUUUUCAUGUUUUUGAGAUCGUAAUAGCUUAAUCUAGCCAUCUCGGGGAUUAAUUUGUAAAGUUAUCAAAGUAAUAGAGUUUUGUCAUGGAUGAAUAUGCAUGAAAUAUGAAUUUUUAUGGUAGAAAAUGAAAGGUUGUUGAUAGAUAAACAACUUUUGUAAAGUGAAUUUUGUUGAAAUGGAUGUUUAAGGACUAAAUUGUAAAGAUUUAAAAUUCAUGGAAAAUUAUGAAUUUUAUGAAAUGCAUGGGCUGCUAAUGUUAUAUGUAAAAAUUGGCUAGGCUUGGAAUAAGGAUUAAAUUACAUGAAUUUCAUUUUCCGAGCCUAAGGACAAAAUUGUCAUUAAUUAAAAGUAUAUGGGCAAAAUGAUAAUUUUGCUAAAGAUGUGAAUUGAAUUAAAAAAUGAAUUGAUGUUAAAUUCAUUUAUUUAGAUCCGGAUAGACCAAAUACGGAAUUGGAUUGAGGAAAAGAAAAAGUGUCAGAUUAGUAGAUUACAAAUACACGAACACUUGUCGAGGUAAGUUCGUGUAACUAAAUUGUAUAUUUAUAUAAUUGUAUUGAAUGUAGUAUAUGUGAAUUGUAUUGUAUUGUUGCUACGUACUUGAAAUUAAUCUUAUAUCUGAUAAUGCCUGACAAAUAUAAGUCCAUAUUGAAUAAAUGAAAUUCGAUUGAUACAGGGUUUCCGUAUUGGUUGUGGUCCUGCGUAUGUUGCGGACAGACCACAGCUCGAAAGAGCGUCCCGUUAUUAUCCUUCUCGAACUUCCCAUUAUAUAGUUCCUGCGAGCUUCCCGUUAAUAGCUCUUUGGAGCAUUCCUAUCGGUUGUGAUCCUGCAUGUGUUGUGGACACACCACAGCUCUUAUGAGCGUCUUGAUAUAUGACUCUUCGUGAGCUUCCCGAUUAAAGGCUCUUUGUGAGCUUCCUAAUUAAUUGCUCUCUGGAGCUUCUUGAUAUGGCUCCCCUGAACUUCCCGAUAUAUGGCUAUUCGGAGCUUCCCGUUAAUGGCUCUUCAGAGCUACCCAUUAUUGGCUCGCGUGAGCUUCUUGAAUAUGGCUCUUAUGAGCUUCUUGUUAUAUAGCCCGGAUAAGCUUCCCGUUAUACAGCUCACAUGAGCUUCCUGUUAUAUGGCUCGAGAGAGCGCAUCCUGAUUAUGUACUCGUAUGAGCCUUCCCAAAUAAGAAUUGACGGAUAAUAGUUUUGUACACUUCAAGUGUACUACCUAUAAAUCCAUCGAUAUUUUAAAUAAAUUCAACGGGCAAAGUUCCGACAUGAGAUAAUUUGAACUUGAGAUGAAUUAUUAUGGAAAUGUAUAUGUUAUAUGAAUAUAUGAUGUGAAAAACAUAUGUAUAUGAAAAUUGUUACAUGAUGAGCUCAUCUUUGUUUCUUGAUAUUCACAUGAAGUACAUAACUAACAUGUUUCUUAAGGUUAUAUGUGUUUAGGCAAAUUCCCAAAUUUCUUUGGAUGAAUUUUGCAUGCUUACUUUAAAUGUAAAUGAAUGAUAAGUUAAUUUUCCAUUAUAAGAACUUACUAAGCAUAAAAUGCUUACUCUGUUUUAUUUUCCUUUGUUCUAUAGUAUUUCGGAAGCUCGUUGGUUAGAAGCUUGGCAAAUAUAUCAUCACACUAUCCAUCACUCAUCUCGGUAUAUUUAGCAAAUCAACUUUGGUAUAAUGGCAUGUAUAGGUUAAGUUUGUCAUUGAUGGCAGGUAAAUGUUUUGUUGUGAUUAGCCAUUUGAAUGGCUUAUGUUUGAUACAUUUUGAUAUAUAUAAGUACAUGGGCUUAUCAUGGUUGAUAUGUGUUUUAGUAUAAUUGAUUGAUGAUUAACUAAUAGACAAAUUGUAACAUGGCUUGAGUUGGUAUAGUUGGUACAAAUAUGAAUAUAUAUAAAUAAGUGAUCAAAUUGUUAAGCUUGGAUACUUGAUUAUAUAAGAUGAUAUGAUUUGCAUAAGACUUGGUUUUGGCUUGAUUCAAAUGUUUUAUAUUGGAUUGGGAAGGUGUUUAAAUGUUAAUGUAGGUGGAAGACAAGUUUGAGUGAGAAAUAAGGCUUGAAAAUGACCUUAUUUUGUCCACAUUGGCAGAGACACGGACGUGUGUCUCAGCAGUGUGUGACACACUGCCUAGCACAUGGGCGUGUGAAUUGGAUGCGUGUCCCUUGCAUCUUUAAAAUUUACAGAAUGCUUAGAAUUGAUCACACGGCCUAACACAUGGGCAUGUGGCUUGGCCGUGUGACCCCUAUACCUACACACGGCUUAGCACAUAGAUGUGUGACUUGGCCGUAUGACCCAAGUCAGAGAGUUACACGGGUAUGGACACAGGUUGGGACACGACCGUGUGCCCUAUUUCGGAUGCCCACACGGCCUAACCAUACGGGUGUGUGUCCCUUGCACAUUAGAAAAAAUUGAGAUUUUGUGAAAAAUUCUCUGAGUACCCGAUUUUGUCUCGACUUGCUUCUAAUGCAUAUGUUGGGCCUCGAGGGCUCAUAUGAGGGACAUUAUGAUUAAUUAUGAUCGAUUUCUGAUAUGAAUGUUAAAUGUUAUGAAAUAACUGUAUUUGAUCUGAAUAUUCUGGUAAUGCGUCAUAACCCUAUUUCGGCGACAGAUAUGGGUUAAGGGUGUUACAUUUAUUGGUAUCAGAGCUACGGUUUAGUCAAUUCUCAGACUAACUUAGCAAGUACAAGUCUAGCUAUACAUGCCAUUAUAUAACUUGUGAUAGUGUGAUAUAUCCUGACCAUUUUAAAUAUCUUUUUCAUAUAGUAAUGUCGUCCAACCAAGCUAAAUCCGAACAAGCUGAGAGUAAUGCUCAAGCUUCAGUUCAAAUAGCAGCAUCUAGUAGUAGAAGGCCCGUAUCUGAGGGCCGAGGAGGAGAGGCAAAAGAAGCCUUCUUCCAAAUAAUAAAUGAGUGGUUUACAGAAUAUGUACGGACAAAUUUGGCUGUUCAACAACCUCUACCCCUCCUAUUUCUCAACCGGUUCCCGAUAUGCCACAAGGUACAGAACUUGUUAGAACUGAUAAGCCUUUUGUAGAUAAAAUCUGUAAGUAUAGGGUUGAAGAAUUUUGAGUUACCGCUGAAGACGAUCUAGGAAGGGCUGAAUUCUAGCUGGAAAACACUAUCAGAGUUCUUGAUGAACUAUCCUGUACACCAAAAAAAUCUUGAAAUGUGAUGUAUCACUGCUAAAAGACUCAGCCUACCAGUGGUGGAACACAUUAAUUUCUGUUGUACCGAAUGAGAGGGUCGCAUGAGAAUUUUUCCGAACUGAGUUAAAAAAGAAAUAUAUUAGUCAAAGAUUCCUUGAUCAGAAAAGAAAAAGAAUUUUUAGAGCUUAAAUAGGGGCAUAUGACUGUACCUGAGUAUGAAAGAGAAUUUUUCUGACUGAGUAAGUAUGCCAGAGAAUGUGUCUCGAUUGAAAUCGUAAUGUGCAAGCGGUUUGAAGAGGGUUUACGUAAUAGCCCAAUUUUGGGCCUAGUCGGAACAGUGGUUUCGGGACCACAAAUCCGACGAGAAAAAAAUUUAAUUUUUAUUAUAUUUUUAUGGUCUACAGUUUCAUAUAAUGACUUCAUGAAAAUUUCGUUCAAAAAUUUCGACGUUUGGGCACUUAAUUUAGCCAAAAGGACUAAAUUGUAAAAAGUGCAAAAGUUGAGUUCUUCAUGUUAGAAGUGUCCAAUUGUUAUGAAAUUUUAAAUUGGAGGUCCUUAAAUGGUAAUUAGACCAUUGGUUACAUUUUGGAAAAAAAAUGGACACGAGAUAAGUGAAAUAGGAAAUUUUUAAGUUAGGGGUAUUUUGGUAAUUUGGUAAUUAAAAUGUAUUAAAAAGAAAAAAUAGGCCAAAAAUCAUCAUCUUCAAGCCUUGGCCGAAUUUCACAAGGGGGAAUCCAUUUCUAGGGUUUUCAAGCUUCCAAGCUCUGUAGUAAGUGAUUCCAAGCCCCGUUUUUAAUGUUCUUUACGUUUUUAGAGUCCUAGUAACUUGAUUUAGCUUAUUCUAUCAAUAAUUUAAUCUAGGGUUUAUAUUUGGAAAAAUAUCCAUAGGUGAAAUAUGUUUAUUUCGAUGUUUUAUGGUAGAAUAUGAAGCUUGAAAUUAUGUUAAACAACUUUUGCUAAGCGAUUUUAAGUGAAAACGAGUAAAACGACAUAAUCGGUAAAAAUACCUAAUGUUCAUAAGUAAGUGUUAGAGUGGGAAUUUGAUGUUGCCAUAGAAGGGAAAAAUUUUCAGCGUAUCAUAAAACAUAAGAAUAAGAGAUGAAGUUUAAUUUCCGAGCUUUGGGGUAAAAGUGUAAAUAUGCAAAAGUUUAGGGGCAAAAUUGUAAUUUUUCCAAAGUUUGAGUCAAUGACUGUUUUGAUGAAUGUGAGUGUUAAAUAAGUUAAAUGUGUCAUUAUAAGUCAAGAAAGACAAAGAAUUGACUUUGAUUAGUGAAAAAGAAAAGUGAGAAAUUCCUAGUUGAACCUUCGAAAUAAACAGGGAUACAAAUGAAGUGACAGAAAUGAUCACAUGUGUGGCACGGACUGUGUGUAGGCCACUAUGUGAAAGUGAUGGCCAUGUGUGUAGUGCUAUGUGCAGGCUACUACGUGUACCAAAAAGAUAGGUCGCAUGUGUAGUACUGUGUGCAGGCUACUAUGCGUACCGGAUAGCUUCGAUCACGUGUGUAGUACUAUAUACAGGCUACUACGUGUAUUGAAUAGUGAUGGUCACAUGUGUAGUACUAUGUGUAGGCUACUAUGUGAACCCGUAUCAUUGAUUAUAAGGUGGUUGCAAAUUGCUGAUUCCACCGUAUCCUUGAUUGUGAAAGAGGUUGCUAUGUGCUGAUUCCCCGUAUCCUUGAUUAUAAGAUGGUUGCUAAGUGCUGAUUCCACCGUAUCCUUGAUUAUGAAAGGGUUUGCUAUGUGCUGAUUUCCCGUAUCAUUGAUUAUAAGGUGGUUCCUAAGUGCUGAUUCCACCGGGAUCCUUUGAAUAUGAGGUGGUUGCUAAGUGCUGAUUCCACCGUGUAACGGUUAAUAUUCUGAAAUGUUCAUUAGGGAAAUUGGAUAAGUGAAAAUAUAUGUGAAUCGAAUAAGGUUACAUGAUGAAUAUUGAGUUCGAUAUUUAAUCGACCCUUGAGUAAGAUGAAAAGAAGUAAUGAAAUUAUGAAAGAGUAAAAUGUGCAACAAAACAGUUUUGGACAGUAACAAUAGUGUGACUUUGAAAAAUCACCAAAAAUGGUGAAAAUUGAAUUAGAGAGUGAAUGAGAUAUGAAAUGAAAGCUUAAGGAGUCUGUUUUUAUAUAAAAGAAACAGAGCAAGCAAAAGAGUUAUACAUUUUGAGAUAUUUGAAUUUACGGAAUCCCCUAUUCUGAAUUUGGAAAAUCAUUAAAAAUUGUAAAAAAAUAAUUACAAGUUAUAAUUUAUAUGCUUAUAAUCCUUAAUGAGUCCAUUUUCAAAGAAAACAAACGAAAAUAUCAUUCGAAUUCUGUACAAUGAGAUAAUUCAUUUUUAGUGAAGAGAGGUCAGAGAUGUUGAGUAGUGAAACAGGGGUGACUUUAAAGAAUAAAAUGUACUAAUUGGCUGAGUCAAAAAUUCUAAAAAUUUUAUGGUAAGAAUACAUGUGAGUCUAGUUUUUAGGAAAAUAAACGGAUCGUAAUUUGGAACUCUGUAGCUUCGGAUAAAAAUGAUUUAGUGACUUUGACUCAAAUAAAUAGCUUUGAAUUUAAAUAUACGUGAAUAGUAAAAUUAUGUAUAAUGCUAUUUAAGCAUGUUUUAUACAUAAAGGAUGUGGAAUGGAGAGGAGGAGGAGGAAAAUUAAUUAUAUAUAUGAAUGAUUUGUGUAUAAUUGGUUAUAUGCUCUAUUAUAAUCGAUAAACGUUAAAAUAGAAAUGAUGCUUACAUUUGCGUAUUAUUGAUCAUGAUUUAAGCUCAUAUGGGAAAAUAAAGUUUCAUAGUAUGUGAGUGUGGUAUAUUUGGUAUAUGUUUUGGUAUGAAGUAAGGCUAUGAAUGGUUUAUGGAUUAACUCAUGUUGGUAAGUUUGAUACAUGAAUAAAUGUUGAACUCGGCCAUACUUAUAAUGCUUACGCUAUAUGUUUAUUUGGCUAACAUGUGUAGUGUACACGUUUAAGCUUUGGCCAAGUGGUGGCUGAAUUAUGCCACGCUAAAUUUAUAAGUUAUGCAUUGAAAUGGUAAGUGCCUAGAUGGGAAUAUGCUUGUGAUCAUAGAAAGGGUGGUAAUGUUUAAAUUAUGUAAACUUACUUGAAAUGGUUUAUCAUGUGGUUAAUUCCAAAAAGAAUUAUGUUUAAAUGUACUAGCUUGUGACUAUGGUUGAAUAAUAUGUUAUUGUUUUGUGUGAUAUUCGUAGGAAAUGGGUGUGGAAAGGAAAUGAAGUAUUAAGUUCAUACUUGAAGAAUAAAAUGACGAAAAAGGGGAUGAUGAGUUGAUUUGAUGUUGUUAUUUAAGCUUAAGUGAUGUUUUCAUUGUAAUACUAAGAAUUUUAUAAAUGUGUUAUUGAAUGGUAUAAUUGAUAAACGUUGAGUUAAAUGGUGAAUACGUAUUAGUAUUAAACUUAAAGAUAUUGAAGUGUACAUGAAUUAAAUGGAAGUUUCUAGUGAUAUGAUUUGAAUUAAAAGAAUUAUUGUGGUAUUGAAAUAUAUAUAUUGGAUUGAGAAAUUGAUUUGAAUUGUGAACAUGAAAGAUUGUGAAUUGAAUAAAAUGGAAAUGAAGCAUUGAAUUACUUGAGUAAGUAUCGGGUCUCGUAGGCCCUAUUUGUUAUGAAUAUAAUAUUUUGAGGAUAUGUUGUAAAUAAUUAUAAAAGCAUGUUAAAAAUUUGAAGAGUUUAAAUUUGAAUGAAAUUUUGUAACUCGAUUUAAUACUUUUACAUGUGUAAGUGUUCUAGUAAUGCCUCAUACCCUAUUCUGGAGUUGAAUAUGGGUAAUGGGUGUAACAGUUUAAAGACAUAAAGUUGCUAGUUGGGAUUCUUGAAUUAAAAGAAUUUAUCAUACUGGUAGAUCGAACUCAGAAAGCUGAUGAGCUGAAUAAAGAAAGAAACAAGUUGAAAUGGAAGCCAGAACUUCAAGUAAAAGAUUUCUGAGAAAGUCACAACAAUCGACCUCAAAGAAAUCGAAGAAAUAUCAUGAUCAUUUUACCACCUUUACAGGGUAUUCGGGGAGAGACAGAAGUAUUCAACGCUCUAAUCCAAGAUCUCAAGCUAUAUCUGUAGCGAGUGUAGGCAGUAUUGAAAAUUCCAAACCCAGAUGCAAACAUUGUAAUAAACUGCAUUUUAGUGAGUGCCGCAUGAGAAGCUGAGCAUGUUUUAGAUGUGGUUCCUUUGACCACUAUUUCAGAGACUACCAAGAAAAGCCUGAAAAAUAUAUUGUUCAAACUUCAAGGCCGAGCAACCCCGCUACAAGAGGCAGACCACCUCGUAACCCCAGCAAUGUCAGCAAAAGUUAAGGUACGAAAAAAGAUUCAACUGUCAAAUCUGAAGCACGAGCACCAGUAAGGACAUAUGCUAUUCGUGCACGUGAGGAUGCCUCUGCACCCGUUGUCAUCAUUAGUACUUUUUUUCUUCUUGAUACUGAUAUAAUUGCUUUAAUUGAUCCUGGUUUGACACAUUCAUAUAUUUGCAUGAAUUUAGUGAAUAAUAAAAAAUUACCUAUUGAGUCCACUGAAUUCCUGGUUAAAGUAUCAAACCCCUUAGGCCAAUAUGUGAUGAGGGAUAAAAUUUGCAAGAAUUAUCCUUUAAUGAUACGGAGUUAUUGUUUCCUGGUCGAUUUGAUGUUAUUACCAUUUGAUGAAUUUGAUGUAAUUCUGGGUAUGGAUUGAUUAACUCAGUAUGAUGCCGUGGUAAAUUGCAAUGAAAAGCAUAUUGUGUUGAAAUGUCAGAAUGGUGAAAUGAUCUGUAUUGAAUCUGUUAAAUGGGAUGAUUUGUCUAAUGUGAUAUCAGCCAUGUCAGCAUAGAAAUAUUUCAGAAAAUGGUGUAAUGCUUAUCUUACUUAUGUACUGGAUACUAAAGUGUCUGAAUCAAAGAUCAAAUCAGUGCUAGUUGUCUGUGAGUAUUCUGAUGUGUUUCCGGAAGAGUUACCCGGGUUACCGUCGGUCAGAGAGGUUGAAUUCUCUAUAGAUCUUAUACCGGGAACAACACUAAUAUCUAUAACACCCUACAUAAUGACUCUUACUGAAUUAAAAGAGUUGAAAGCACAAUUGCAAGAACUGGCUGACAGAGGUUUUGCUCGACCUAGUUCUUCACCUUGGGGUGCACCAAUUCUGUUUGUUAAGAAGAAAGAUGGAUCCCUUAGGUUAUGUAUUGAUUACAAACAACUCAACAAAGUCACAAUUAAGAAUAAGUAUCCAUUACCUCGUAUUAAUGAUUUGUUUGACCAGUUGAAAGGUGCUACAGUAUUGUCAAAGAUUGAUCUUCAUUCUGAUUAUUAUCAGUUACGAGUAAAAGACUCGGAUGUGUCGAAAACAACCUUCAGAACCUGGUAUGGGCAUUACGAAUUCCUUGCGAUGUCGUUUGGUUUAACAAAUGCACCUGCGGUAUUUAUGGAAUUAAUGAAUAGAAUUUUCAGACAGUAUCUGGAUAGAUUUGUGGUGGUAUUCAUUGAUGAUAUCCUGGUAUAUUCCCAAGAUGAAAUUGAACAUGCUGAUCAUUUAAAAAUUGUUCUGUGAACUCUAUGUGAGAAAAAAUAGUAUGCCAAAUUUAGCAAAUGUGAAUUUUGGCUUCGAAAAGUUGGUUUUCUUGGACAUAUAAUCUGCUGAAGGCAUUAGAGUGGAUCCGAAUAAAAUUUCAGCCAUUGUUAACUGGAAACCACCAAAAAAUGUGUCUGAAGUCAAAAGUUUUCUGGGAUUAGUCGGUUACUAUCGUAGAUUUGUAAAAGAGUUUUUGAUGAUAGCUUCUCCGAUGACACGGUUGUUACAAAAAGAUGUAAAAUUUGAAUGGACUGAUAAAUGUCAACAAAGUUUUGACCGAUUGAAAACCCUAUUGACUGAAGCACCAGUUUUAGUUCAGCUUGAAUCGGGUAAGCAAUUUGUGAUUUACAGUGAUGCAUCAUUAAACGGUUUAGGUUGUGUUUUGGUGCAAAAAGGUAAAGUAAUAGCCUAUGCUUCUAGACAGCUAAAAUCGCAUGAAAAGAAUUACCCGAUACAUGAUUUAGAAUUGGAAGAUAUUGUUUUUGCGUUAAAAAUCUAGCGACACUAUCUAUUUGGUUAAAAAAAUACUAUAUAUUCACCGAUCAUAAAAGCUUAAAGUAUUUGAUGUCGCAAAAAGAUUUGAAUUUGAGACAGCGCAGGUGGCUUGAAUUGUUGAAAGAUUAUGAUUUGAUUAUCAACUAUCAUCUGGGAAAAGUAAAUGUUGUUGUAGAUGCUCUAAGUAGAAAGUCUCUGUUUUCCUUGCGAGCAAUGAAUACCCGAUUGUCUUUAUCUAAUGAUGGUUCGAUCUUAGCCGAGUUAAAAGCUAGAUUAACAUUUUUGCAACAGAUCUAUGAAGCUUAGAAAAGUGAUGAUGAGUUGAAAGCUAAACAGAUACAUUGUGAGUCAACUUCUGAUUCAGAAUUUCAGAUUGGACCUGAUGAUUGUCUGUUGUACAAAGGCACAGUAUGUGUACCGAGAAAUUCAGAGCUUGUACAGAAGAUUUUACACGAAGCUCAUAAUGGUACUAUCUCUAUUCAUCCGGGGUGUAAUAAAAUGUACAAUGAUUUGAAAAAGAUGUACUGGUGGUUGGGAAUGAAACGUGAUAUUUCUGAAUUCGUAUCUAGAUGUUUGAUAUGUUAGCAAGUCAAAGCUAAACAUCAGGUACCUUCAGGAUUAUUACAGCUAGUCACGAUACCGGAAUGGAAAUGGGAAAAAGUUAUUAUUGGUUUUGUAUCGGGGUUACCCCUAUCUCUGAAAAAGAAAGAUGCUAUUUGGGUAAUUGUCGAUCGUUUGACGAAGUCUGCACACUUUAUUCUGGUACGUAUGGAUUUCUCCCUGGAUAGGUUGUCUGAGUUAUAUGUUUCUGAGAUUGUCAGAUUACAUGGUAUACCAGUUCUUAUUAUUUCUGAUAGAGAUCCUCGGUUCACAUCUUGAUUCUGGAACAAAUUACAGGAAGCUUUGGGUACGCAAUUACAUUUCAGUACUGCAUUCUAUCCUCAGACUGAUGGUCAAUCUGAACUUGUAAUACAGAUUCUAGAAGAUAUGCUUCAGUGUUGUGUUUUAGAAUUCGAAGGUAAUUGGGAAAAGUAUCUGCCUUUAGUUGAAUUUGCAUAUAAUAAUAGCUAUCAGUUAAGCAUAAAGAUGACACCGUAUGAAGCUCUGUAUGGUCGUAAAUGUAGAACUCUGUUGUAUUGGACUGAACUCAGUAAGAAAAAGAUACACGGAGUUGAUUUGAUUCGUUAAACCGAAAAAAAAGAGAAAUUAAUCCAUGAUAGCUUAAAAGUAGCUUCUGAUCGCCAGAAAACCUAUGCGGAUCUUAAACGUAAAGAGAUAGAGUUUCAAGUUGGCGACAAUGUAUUUCUGAAAGUUUUACCUUGGAAGAAAUUUCUUCGGUUUGGUUGUAAAGGAAAACUAAGUCCGCGAUUUAUCGGGUUAUAUGAGAUUAUUGAAAGAAUUAGACCUGUUGCGUAUUGAUUAGCUCUACCACCAGAACUUGAUAGAACUCACAAUGCCCUUCACACGUUAUUUCUCCAACAGAGGUCAAAAUUUAGCCUAACAUGACUUACAGUGAGGAACCGAUCAAAAUUCUGGCACGUGAGACGAAAGAAUUGAGAAAUAAAAAGGUAAUUUUAGUAAAACUUUUUUGCCAACGACACAGGCUAGAAGAAGCUACCUUGAAACUAGAGGAAACAAUGAAGAAGCAAUAUCCAAACCUCUUUACUGGUAAGAUUUUUGCGGACGAAAAUUUUUAAAAGGGGAGAGUUGUAACAUCCCAUUUUUAGUGAAAUCGAAACACUAGUUUCGGGAUCACAAAUUCAAGUUCAAAAAAAUUCAUUUUAAUAUUAUUUUAUGGUCUACCAUAUGAUAGAAAUAUCAUAUACAAAUUUCGUUAAGAAAAUUUUACUGAUUACAUGUUUAAUUGAUGAAAGGACCAAAUUGUAUGAAAUGUAAAAGUUGAAUUCUAGUAGCUAAAAGGAUCAAAUAGCUAUGGAAUUCGAAAUUUGAUGUCGUUAUAUGACAAAUAGACCAUUAAGAGGAGUUAGUAGAUAAGUAUGAUGAUUUAUCCAUGGAAAAUUAAAUAAAGAAAAGGACUAAAUUGGAAAGAUGAAAUAAUAAAAGAUGAUAUUUUAAUUAAAUAAUAAAUAUUAUCAUUUUAUAUAAUCUUUCCCAAAUAAAAAAAAACAUGGAAACCCUAGUUUAGAAGAGCUUGAAGAUAGCAAGUUAUUUUGGCUCAAUUAGGUGAGUAUUCAAGUCUCGUUUUUAAUGAUUUUUAUAUUUCCGAGAUCGUAAUAGCUUAAUCUAGCCAUCUCGCGGAUUAAUUUGUAAAGUUAUCAAAGUACUAGGGUUUUGUCAUGGAUGAAUAUGCAAGAAUUGUGAAUUUUUAUGGUAGAAAAUGAAAGGUUGUUGAUAGAUAAACAACUUUUGUAAAGUGAAUUUUGUUGAAAUGGUUAUUUAAGGACUAAAUUGUAAAGAUGUAAAAUUCAUGGAAAAUUCUAAAUUUUAUGAAAUACAUGGGCUGCUAAUGUUAUAUGUAAAAAUCGGCUAGGCUCGAAAUAAUGAUUAAAUUGCAUGAAUUUCAUUUUCCGAGCCUAGGGAUGAAAUUGUCAUUAAUUAAAAGUAUAGGGGCAAAAUGACAAUUUUGCCAAAGAUGUGAAUUGAAUUGAAAAAAAUAUGAAUUGAUGUUAAAUUCAUUUAUUUAGAUACGGAUAGACCAAAUACAGAAUUGGAUUGAGGAAAAGAAAAAGUGUCGGACUAGUAGAUUACAAAUACACGAACACUUGUCAAGUAAGUUCGUGUAACUAAAUUGUAUAUUUAUAUAAUUGUAUUGAAUGUAGUGUAUGUGAAUUGUAUUGCUGCUAUGUACUUGAAAUUAAUCUUGUAUCCGACUAUGCCUGACAAAUAUAAGUCCCAAUUGAAUAUAUAAAAUUCGAUGGAUACAAUGUUUUUGUAUUGGUUGUGGUCCUGCAUAUGUUGCGGACACACCACAACUCCGAAAGGGUGUCCCGUUAUUAGCCCUCUCAAGCUCCCCAUUAUAUAGUUCCUGCGAGCUUCCCGUUAAUAGCUCUUUGGAGCAUUUCGAUAGGUUGUGAUCCUGCAUGUGUUGUGGACACAUCACAACUCUUAUAAGCGUCCCAAUAUAUGGCUCUUCGUGAGCUUCUCGAUUAAAGGCUCUUUGUGAGCUUCCUAAUUAAUGUCUUUCCAAAGCUUCUUGAUAUGACUUCCCUGAACUUCCCGGUAUAUGGCUAUUCGGAGCUUUCAGUUAAUGGCUCUUCAGAGCUACCUGUUAUUGGCUCGCAUGAGCUUCUUGAAUAUGGCUCUUAUAAGCUUCCCGUUAUGCAGCCUAGAUAAGCUUCUCGUUAUACAACUCACAUGAGCUUCCUGUUAUAUGGAUCGAGAGAGGGCUUCCUGAUUAUGUGCUCGUAUGAGCCUUCCCAAAUAAGAAUGGAUGAAUUACAGUUUUGUACACUUCAAGUGUACUACCUGUGUAUCCUUCGAUAUUUUAAAUAAAUUCAACAGGCAAAGUUCCGACAUGGGAUAAUCUGAACUUAAGAUGAAUUAUUAUGGAAAUGUAUAUGUUAUAUGAAUAUAUGAUGUGGAAAACAUAUGUAUAUGAAAAUUGUUACAUGAUGAGCUCAUCCUUAUUUCUUGAUAUUCACAUGAAGUACAUAACUAACAUGUUUCUUAAGGUUAUAUAUGUUUAGGAAAAUUCCCAAAUUUCUUUGGAUGAAUUUUGCAUGCUUAUUUUAAAUAAUUUUCCAUUAUAUGAACUUACUAAGCAUAAAAUGCUUACUCUAUUUUACUUUCCUCUGUUCUAUAGUAUUUCGGAAGCUCAUUGGUUGGAAGCUUGGCAAAGAUAUCAUCACACUAUCCAUCGACUCAUCUCGGUAUAUUUAGUAAAUCAACUUUGGUAUGAUGGCAUGUAUAGGUUAAAUUGGCCAUUGAUGGCAGGUAAAUGUUUUGUUGUGAUUAGCCAUUUGAAUGACUUAUGUUUGAUACAGUUUGAUAUGUAUAAGUACAUGGGCUUAUCAUGUUUGAUAUGUGUUUUAGUAUAAUUGAUUGAUGGUUAACUAAUAGGCAAAUUGUAACAUGGCUUGAGUUGGUAUAGUUGGUACAUAUAUGAAUAUAUAUAAAUAAGUGAUCAAAUUUUUAAGCAUGGAUACUUGAUUAGAUAAGAUGAUAUGAUUUGCAUAAGACUUGGUUUUGGUUUGAUUCAAAUAUUUUAUAUUGGAUUGGGAAGGUGUUUAAGUGUUAAUGUAGGUGGAAGACAAGUUUGGGUGACAAAUAAGGCUUGAAAAUGACCUUAUUUUGCCUACACGGGCAGAGACACGGUCGUGCGUCUCAGCCAUAUGUGACACACGACCUAGCACAUGGGCGUGUAUCUUGGCCGUGUGUCCCCUGCAUCUUUAAAAUUUCAAAAUAGAAUGCUUAGAAUUGAUCACACGGCCUGGCACACAGGCGUGUGGCUUGGCCAGGUGACCCAUGCACCUACACAUGACCUAGCACAUGAGAGUGUGACUUGAGCGUGUGACCUAAGUCAGAGAGUUACACAGGUAUGGACAAGGGCUAGGACAUGGCCAUGUGCCCAAUUUCGAAUGCCCACAGGCCUGACCACACGAGCGUGUGUCCCCUGUACCUUAGAAAAAUUUUAAAAUUCUGUGAAAAAUAUUUUGAGUACCCGAUUUAAACCCGACUUGUUUCUAAUGCAUAUUUUGGGCAUCGAGGGCUCAUAUAAGGGACAUUAUGAUUAAUUAUGAUCGAUUUCUGAUAUGAAUGUUAAAUGUUAUGAAAUAUCUGUAUUUGAUCUGAAUAUUUUGGUAAUGCGUCAUAACCCUGUUCCGGUUUCGGAUAUGGGUUAGGGGUGUUACAUUUUUGUUCUAUUCUUUCACACUUCCUUCAAAACCAAAAUAAUAAAUAUUUAAUUUUACUUAUAAUAUAUCAUCAACGACGCUCAAGGUUUUUAGAAUUUACUAGUAAGUGAACCGAUUAGACUAUCGGUUCUCAGUUCAACUAGUUUGACCGAUCCAAUCGGUUCGAUUGAAUAAAUUAUUAAAAAUAAAAAAUAGCUAAAAAUAGAUCAAAUAUAUUCGACUGUUGAUUUAGUCGGUUCGAUCGGUUCAACCAGUUCCCGAGUCAACCAAUCUGGUCCGCUAUUCUAGAUUGGUACUUCGACCGAUUCCCAAUCCAAUCAGUCUGAUCGGUUGGUCUGAUCCAUUUCUAAAAUUUGUGACGAAGCUUCAUGCAUUUAAUAUAGUUUCCAUAAUUUUAGUUUAUAAACCCCUAGCUUUUAAUUUAUAAUUUCCAAAAUUAGGCUUGUAACACCCUUUGCUCGACCUAAUCACUAGGUCCAAGCUAAAUUAUGCAUCAUUCGUUGUUAGAGCAACUAUAAAAAAUUAUACACCGUUCAAUCAUUCAACAUGUAAAUAAGUAUCAUUCAAAUUCAUAAUAAGUUACACGAUCGUUUUCGGGUCUCAUAUGAGCUUACAAAAGUUCUUUUACUAACUCGAGUAUGAAUUAGGAUCGAAAUGUGACCUUUUAAAAAUCUUGGGCCAACGUCAUGACUUCAUAAUAUCCUCGUCGUGACAUUGUUAACUUAGUGAGUUAUGUCAUGAUGUCAUGUAUAUCCAUGUCGCGAUGACUCUCAUUGUCGGACGACAUUACUACGUCAGGGAUUCAUGAUCGCGAAGUUGCCCCUAUUUUGGUAAAAUGCACAUUUGGUACCUAAUAAAUUGAUUCCAAACCUUCAUCUAAAUAUUUUUAUUCAAUCUUCCACAAAUAAUAAGCCAUUAAACAAUGCUAAUGAUAAUCAAAUUCAAGUAUAUAACCAUUUAAACCAACUAUUUUUUAUCAUAGAAUUCAAUCAUUCAAUAUUUAGACAUAUUCAAAUCAAUUUGAUCUAUCCAUACUAAAACACUUCUAUUACCAACUUAAGCAAGUUUCAUUAUACCAACUGCUAACCAAACACUUCAAAAAGUUUGACAUGAAUCAAUCAAACCAUACACUAUGCUUUAACAAUAUAAUUUUCAGUGGUGUUGAAAACAGUGGUUUCGGUAUCACAAAUUCGACGAGUAAGUUCGUAUAAUUAGUAUUUAAAUUAUACGAGUCAAUAAUAAUAUUUAUAUUGAAUUUUGAUUUGAUGAUUUUUAAACAAUUGCAUUCAAAGUUAGUAUAAGUGGUUUAGUUCAAAAGUCAAGUGGUUAUUGAAAACAAGGUAUUAGGACCUCAUUUUCGUAAUUUAAAGUUGUAAAUAUUUUUAUUAAAUAUUUAUAGAGUCGUAUUAUAUAUGAAUUGAAGUUGGGUCCCGUAAUUUUGAUGAUUUAUUGCUUAAUUAAGGUAAAAAAAAUUAAAUUGUAAAAGAGGAAAAAGUUAAUUGCUAUAGAUUUAAAAUAGUAAAAGGAUCAAAAUGGUAAUUAAACCAUGGUCGAAAAGUCCAAGCGGUGGUGGCAUGAUUAAAUCCACUAACUCUUGGGCUAUUUUCUUUUUUAGUCCUAAUUAGUUUAGGAUUAAAUUGUAAUUAAGUUUAUUUAGUUGGAAUUUAAAAUAAUAUGGUAAGAAAAGUGGAGAAUUCUCUAGAAAAGUGGAGAAUUCUCUAGAAUGUGUUUUAAAUUUCUUUAAUUAUUAUUUUAAAUGUUUUAAUUAAAUUAAAGUAAAAAUAUUAUGAUAAUAAAAAGGAAACAAAAAGAAAAAAAGGACUUACCUUUCUUAUUUCUUCUUCCAAGCGGCCGAACCUCCAUUUUUAGAGCUUGAGGAACUUCGGUUGAGUUUUAGUUGCAUGUUAGGUAGGUUAUCCUUGCCCGUUUUUAGCGAUUUUUAUAUUUUCGAGUUCGAUUUAGCUUGAUCUAGCUAACUGAGGAUUAAUUUGUAAAACUGUCAAAUGUUAUGGAUUAUGUAAUUGAUGAUUUUUGUGUGCUGUUGAAGUUUUAUAAUAAAUUAUUAAGCUUGAUUUUUAAAUAAGACUAUUUUGUAAAAUAAUUUUUAGUUAUUUUAAUGUUUAAGGACUAAAAUGUUAAAGUGAUAAAAUUACAAGGAAUUGAUGGGAAAUAAUUGCAAAAAUGGGCUUAGAAAGGCACUUGGAUAUUCGACUAAGCUGAAAGUUGAAUAAAAAUGGUUAAAUUGCAUGUUUUGAAUUUAGGGACUAAAUUGCAUAAAAGUAAAAUAUUGGAGACAAUUUCGUAAAAAUGUCAAAAAGAAAUUAAUUGCAUAAAAUGAUUUCAUUUAACUGUUGGAAUUAGUGAAUUUAAUGAAAUUAUUAUUUUAGAUCAAGAAAGAGUGAAAAAUCGAGGAAAAGAGAAAAUUACCAAAUAGCCUAUGUACUUUGUCGUUGCUGCAGUUUAGUCUAGUAAGUUCGUACAAUUUAAUUUUAGUAUAUUUUUAAAUGUAUUAUAUGAACCUAAUUGCAUAAUUUUGGAUUAUAUUGAUGUGUGUAAUGGAAAAUGAAAAUAAUAUAUUGACACAACGUCGAUCAUUAACUGAGCUACUCUAGACCGUUACUACAAAUCAGUGAUGUACAUUAGUUUAUUUGAUAUUGCUUUGAUUAUACAAAUGAAUUGGUGAACCAUAUAAGCACACUGUUAUGGAAAUUAUGAAGCGAUGAAAGUUGAGGAGAUGAAUUACAGGAGAUUAUAGUGUUUACUAGAUAUAUCGAGGUCCUCCAUGUGUUAUGAACUAAUUCGAUAUAUUGCAUAUGGUGUGCUAGAUGGAUUGGCUGAUACGAGCUUACAGUUGAUUCAGAAUGACCCCAAGGUAGCUCGCCUAGCAACACCGAAACUAACCCAAGAGAGUAGCUUCAUGCAAUUACUAUUCGAGAUGAAAAAGGGUUAGUUGAAUCUAAACUAGAAUCGAGGCAAGAAAGUGUGGUAAUAAAGGUAAGGUUGAGGCACGCUAAAAUGAGCAAAAAUCGAUUGGUAAGGAAUAUAAACCUCGUGUGCCAUAUCCCAACGUGACAAAGAAAGACCAUAUUCCGUUUAUUGAAGCUCUUUCGUAGAUGCCCAAUUCUGUUAAAUUUUUAAAGGAGCUUUUGGCAAACAAACGAAAGUUAGAUGAUUCGUCGCAUGUGGAGCUAAAUGCAGUAUGCUCAGCUAUUUUGCAAAAUAAACUACCCAACAAAUUGAAAGAUCCAAAGAGUUUUACUAUUCUUUGUUUAAUUGGUAGUUUAAAUGUUAAUAAUGCUUUGGUUGAUUUAGGGGCUAGUAUUAAUGCUAUAAAAUGUUUAAACAAUUAGGUCUUGGGAAUCCCAAACAAACUAGGAUGAGUAUACAAUUAGCAGAUAGAACCUUUAGAUUUCCUAGGAGUAUUAUUGAAGACAUACUUGUAAAAAUUGAUAAAGUCAUAUUCCCAGUUGAUUUCGUUGUUUUAGACAUAGAUGAGGAUAGCGACGUACCUUUGAUUCUAGGUCGGCCCUUUUUAGCAACUGCUAGAACUAUUGUUGAUGUUGGUACAGGUGAAUUAAUACUACGUGUAGGUGAUGACACAAUUACUCUCUAAGCUCGUGAUUCUGCUAGGAUAUCUAGUGAUCGAGAUGAUUAUACGAAUUCUGUUAAUAUAAGUAACCUUGUGGCUCGAACUUCUUUGCAAGAAACCCCUCAGAAGAACGUGAUGGAGCCACGUUCUAGUCCAUGCGACAAAAACAGAACAACUCAUGAAGAACAAAUGCUACAGAUCGAUGAACUAGACGAAUGGCGGACACAUGUUAAGGAGAAACCGAGAAUACACGAUGUAGAAGCAAAGCUACACCAUGAUGAGUAUGUGGAUGAAACAAACCAAAUUAAGGUUAGGGACAAGGUAUUGCUAGAUAAAACAGAUUCUCAAAUUGCCAUUUCAGAGUUUAAUACAAAUAGAGUAACUCCUUUUAGAGUACUGGAUGUCUUCCCAUACGGUACAGUCGAGGUAACUCAUUUUGAAUUCAGUACUUUUAAGGUAAAUAUUAUUUGACUCAAAUAUUAUUUUGAUAAUAGAAUUGACAGUGAGAAAGAGGAGUUUCGACUCUGCGAACCAUCGUGACCGUGCGAAUACAUGGUAAGUCGAGCUUAGACUUUAAAUAAGUGCUUCUCGGGAGGCAACCCCAGUGUUAACAAUGCUAAUUUUCUUAUUUUUAUUUCACAGUAUUUUUAAAAUUAAAUAAAAAAGUGUGUUUUUUGACCCACACAGCCUGGACACACGGGCAUGUCCCAGGCUGUGUACACUAUAAGGGGUUCAACAGUGAGUUACACGGCCUGGAAAAAUGGUCGUGUGACCCAUACGGCCUAGACACACGGGUGUGUCCUUGGCCGUGUGGAUCUUCAGACUUAGUUUUAAAAUUUUAAGGAAAUCAACAGUGAGUUACACAGCCUGGCAACACGGCCGUGCAACCUACACGGCUUGGCAACAUGGCCGUGUAACCUACACGACCUGGCGACACGGUCGUGUAACCUACACGGCUUGGAGACACGGUCGUGUAACCUACACGAACUAGACACAUAGGCAUGUCCUUCGCCAUGUGGAUCUUGGGAUUUAAUUUUUUAAAAAUUAAUAAAGACACAACCUAAAAUAGUCCACACGGGCAUGUGACAAGCCGUGUGAAACCUGGAGCUAAUUUUUUUAUUUUUAAAUCAAGUCAGAGAGUUACACGAGCAAGGCCGAGCCACACGGGCGUGUGGGAGCUCACACGGGCUUGAGAGAAGCGAACGAGGUUGCACACGAUCAUGUGAAGACUGGGUUAAAAAUUUAAUCGCACACGAGCUGAACAGGAACCGCACGGGCGUGUGACACGGCUGUGUGGCCCAACAUGGGCCUUACACGACCGUGUCACCCUUUUAAAAAAACCCUAAUCCCUUUUAUUUUUGUUUUGUCUUCUUCUUCAUCUUCCUUUUCAACCCUUGCCGCCACUCCCCAAACACCAAAACCUUAGCCAACGCUCCCCAUUCUCGCCACCGUUGCCGUUUGGUCCACCAAACCCAACCCCCUUCUUUUUUCUUUUUCCCUUUCCAAGCUCCCACCGCCGCACCCACCUUUUCCCCUUGCCCCUCUCUCCCUCACCUCUCCUUCACCCAAACCGCCGCGUCACCCUCUCAAAUCGACCCCCAGAACCGUCUCAUUCGCGUGCCGCCGACCUCACUCCCCCAUUCCUCGUUGCACUUUUCCCCUCAUCCGAACUACCACCCCCGCGCUGUCCCUCUCCAAGCUUCGGCCACCCACCAUCAGUUUUCCCUCUUUUUUGCCCUUUUCUUUUAUUUACUUAUUAUUAUUUAUUUAUUAUCUGUUCAUUUUUAUUAUAUUUAUUAUUUUGUUUUCUUAUUCUGUUUAUUUUUUUAUUAUGUUUAUUCCUGGUUUUAUUUUAUUUUAUUUUGUUCUAUUAUUUAGCUUUGUCAUUAUGUGCAUUAGUUUGUCCCUUUUAGUUUAGUUUGUUUUAUUUUCAUUAUUUGUUAGUUUUCUUAUUAUUUUCCAUCAUUUUUCUAGCUCUAGUAAUUGUUGUUGACUUACUGUUCUCUUAUGUUAAUGAUUCAUUUUUUUGUCUUCUCAUUAUCUUCGUAUUCUUAUUAUUAUUGGUGUUAUUGUUUUGAUUAUUCUUCGUAUUAUCAUUUCAUUAUUUAUGUGUAUACUUUUUUUUAUUUUGGUGCUUGCAUUAUCAGGUAUUAGUACAUAUUCCUUUAAGACUAGAUUUCUGUUUUACCUCUUAGGAUUUUUCAUUUAUCGGCCUCUGUUGCGUGUUUGGUGAGGCCUUAUUUAUUCAGUAUUGACUUUUUUUAUUUUCAGGCACACCAUGACAAACACUUGCAGUAAAUCCAAGGUCAUUGUUCCCGCUUCGAAAAAACAGAAGACACCUAGUACAACCUCCUCCUCGAGCGCCUCCGUUGAAGCCCGCCACCCUUAUCUCUAGUUUUCUACGAGCCCUCAAGAGGAUUUAUUUCAGCUACUUCGACAGUGCCUACUUGGCCUAGGCCGAUGCAUUGAUUGGGAAGCGUUAGAGCAGGUCCACCUAGUUGAUCACGUGAACGCCUUUAUUACCACAGCCCCGUGGGACCGAUUUUUAUCCAUCAUCGAGCCCACAUAUAUGGAGCUCAUAUAUGGAGCUUACUUUGGAGUUUUGUUUUACAUUUAUUCUACAGCAGGUCAUGACGACUCAUGACGAGCCAGCACCAUCACUUUCAGACUCGGUAGCUUGGUGCGCCAUAUGAAUGUCCUCGAGUUUGGCGCUGCUAUGGGACUCUACACUGAGGAGUUUAUGAGUGUCGAGAACUUUCUUCACCUACAUUAGCACAUCCAUUACUCGCCAUCUCGUUGUUGGGCAGAGCUUACGGCGAGUAGGACACUUUAUUAUGCAAGUUGCUUGAAGGCGACUUCUCUCUCUCUGGCAUUACGGUAUCUUCAUGCCCUUUUAGCUCACACUUUGAUCGACAGGAGAGAGAGCAUCGGAUUCGUCAGUACUAUUGAUGCUUAUUUUCUAUGGAGCAUGACCACCGGACAUAUCUUUGAUUUGGCAUACUUCAUUGCCUUAGCCUUCCGCCAUCAGACUGACUGCCACAGGAAGGGUCUCAUCUGUUUAGGCCCUUAUGUGACUCGACUUGCUAGACACUUCGGUCUCCUCGACACACUGGAGCAGUCCUCUACACUUACACUCGUAUGAUCGAGCGUGAUCAUAUGAGGAUGAUCCAUAUGAGGAUGAUCGAGCGACGUCAUGGAGUAGAUCCUCUUCAGUACCGAUUAGUUCAUUCUGACCUUCAGAAUGAACCCGGGGACUUCACUGAUAAUGUCCCCUUCCAUCACGAAGACCUACCUCAGCCUCCACCUUCGAGUCACCGCCCUGUUUCUUCUACUGCUACUUUGACAGACCUCUUCGAGCGGUUCACUUGCUUCAAGCAGCACUGCUUUCAGAUAUUCAAUAGUAUUGAUGCGACAUUGCAGUAGAUUUGUCAGCAUUUUCAUAUCUCCUCCUCAGCUUCGACGACUCACGACACCGACAUUUCUGAUGAUAAGGACCAUUGAGUCUAUUUGUUUUAUUUUAUUUUAUUUUUAUUUUUAUGUUUAUUGUUAUUUUCUUAAACUUAUUUGGUUUUUACCUUUUGAACUAUAUUUUUAUUUUUUAUGGUUAUUUCUAAUCGAGUUAGUAACCCUUAAUCUUCUUCAAUAGUUGUGUUUUUUUCUUAAUAGUUUGCUCGGAAUCAUGCACUACAUCUAGGUUUGUCUACAAUUUCGCUUUUCACUAUUCUGGAGGUUUCAUCCAAUAUUAAUGGCAGUUUCAGUUUUCUCCCUCUCUUAUGAUAUUUUGUUUAUACUGUGAUCAUAUCUAUUUGUACAUUGCAGACAAUGUACAUCUGAAGUGUGGGGAGGUUAUUUAUAUAAUUAUUAGAAAAUUCCUGAAUUAUGUCUUAUGUUUAAGUAAUUUUCUCAUACCUCUAUUAGAAUAAAUUUUUUAUCGAUUCGUGAUGUUUAUUGAUGUGUUUUGGAUUAAAUUCAUAGGUAUUUGUGCAUUGAUUGUUUUAAACUUUAAGACAUGAGAGAAUCAAGCAUGAUAAGUUUAUUUUCAGAAUUAAAAAUUUUAAGUUGUUUCCCUGAAUUGAGGUAUUAUCUUGAAGUUUUAGAUUUACAAGAUUGACAUCAAAAAUCAUAAUUUUUUGUGAGAUUUUAAGCCUUUAGAGCAUACAUUUUUCCUGCUCAUUUUUAUUAUUGGUUAUGAGUGUGUCAAUAUUGAUUUGUUAUUCUAGAACUUGCUUCGAUUAUGCAUGUUGAGACCAUACUUUUGAUUUGAUAUACUGAGAUGAUAAAGGAACUUAGGUUUUAAACCACUUAUCCUAUAAAAAGCCUACCUACAUAAUUAACCAUUAAUGAACCCCUUUGAGCCUAACACACAGUUCUUGAUUCACCCAUUAAUUUUAACCCUUAACUUAUUGUUUUUGCUCAUUAAGAAUUUUUCAUGUUUUAUUGACUCCAUUUUUAUUGAGAUUUGAUUUGGUUAAUUGCCUGAUUAAGCUUUUUGUUUACGUUGCUGAAUUAUUUCUUAUUGCUCUCAAUUAAAAAAUACAUAUAUAUUGAUUAUUAUUUAGUUCUAUGUUAAUUGAGCUUGAACAGUUAAAUUCAUAUUUUGAGAAGAAGCUCGUGUUAUUCUUGAAUAGUUUUCGAUUGAUGUAAUUGUUUUUAAUUUAGCAUUUGUUUAUUUUUUAGUUUAGUAAUUUAUCAAUUCAAUCUCGAUUUUAACCAACUUUUUUAGCCUUUCUCCACACCAUUUAACCUAAGCCCAGUUACAACCUUUUAAAGACAUUUUGAUUUGUGUAUCAUCUCAUUUUAUAGUGGUAAAGAUUUGAUUUUCAUGCAAGCCUAUGGUAAUGACUUUUCGUGUUUGACUAUUGAGUGCUUAUUUUUGAACCUUAAACACUUUGAGUGAUUUGAGUGAAUCUUUAGUGAGGGUGUCAAUUCUUGUCGAUUUUGAAUUAAAGGUAAAUACUUAAAUAAGGGGAAAUACCUAUGUUUUCAUGCUUUAAAAAUGUUCGACUUGGAUUGUUUGAAUCUUUAGUGCUCUUUUAGUUGAAUUAUCAAUGUAUGGUUAUUUAUGAAUUAUGACGAAACAUCAUUGAUGAGAAUUAUGAGUUGAGAAAUAUUAAUUUUAAUUGUGAGUUGAGGAUUUUGCUUAAAGACAAACAAACGCCUAAAUGUGGGGAUAUUUGAUAAACCAUAAAAGUAACAUGUUUUUAAUCCCAUUCUUGAUGCGUUUUUGGAUGAUUUAUUAUGUAAAUUAGUGAAUUUGAUGCUCCUAAUCCUUUAAAUUCAUGUUUCUAUACUUAGGUGAGAAUAGGGGAGCGAAAGGAAUGAAAAACAAGCCAAAAUCGAGCAAAAAGAGUUAUUUUCAACAUCUACACGGCCUGAGCAUUUCCACACGGGUUGGCCACACGCCCAUGUGCUAACUCAUGUCCAUUUUGCACCCUGUUUCCCAAACACACAGAAAAACCUAAUUUUUAGGCUUUCUAAGCAUUCUAAAGUUUAUAAAUAUCAAUUAGAAGAAAAUCUAAGAGAGCACGCAGAGAAGAUUAAAGAAAUUACUCGAAGAACACCAUCAUAGCCAACUUAUAAGCGGAUCUCUUUCAAGAUUGAAGAUCUCCUUUUAACUUCUUUCGAAGUUUAUUUGAAUUUCUUUAUGUCUUGUAAUUUUUCUGAAUUCGAGAUGUUUUUAUUUCAGAUUAUGAACUAAAUUUCCUAGAUACCUAAGGAAGAUGAAACUUAUGAUGAAUCUUAUUAUUUGAUUUCUGAAUUACAUGAUAAAUACUUGAUUCUUAUUCUCAAUUAUGUAUGCUUAUUUCGUGUUUUAAUAUUUUUGGGAUAUUAAUUCAUGUUUAAUGUGCUUAUUUCAGUGGAGCAAAAGUCCCUGUUUAAGAGUAGAUCUAGCAUAAUUGAGUGGAGUUGCAUGCAAUCCUAGAAAUAGGGCGACAUAAAUCUACCAGAUUAGAGUCAAAUCUAAUAGGGGAAUCCAUAGAUCGAGUUAAUGCGAUAAUAGGGGUUUUAAUUAGAAAGUGAUUUCAAUUAAUCAACCUAGAGUCAGUUUUUCUUACUCUCGAAUGAGAUAUUAACAUAAUUUAGGGAUUUCUACGGAUCAAGACACAAGUAAAUAAAUCAUUUAAUUCGGAUUCAGAAUAAUAAGUGAAGUCUAGGUUGAUUCUUUCCUGGAUAUUGCCUUUCUCUUUGGCAUCUUCAAUUAUUUCAUAUUUCAUUUUCUGUUGUGUUCUUAGUUAAAUUAGAUUAGUAAAUUUAGAUUAAAAACAAUCAUCCCAAUUUAUCGGCUAAAUAAUAGAAAAAUAAUAAUUACUAGUACUUUUAGUCCUCGUGGAUACGAUAUUCCCUACUCACCAUAACUAUACUAUUGUUCGAUAGGUGCGCUUGCCUUUGUCAUAAUUAUAGUUAGUUUAGUGACCAUCAACUCCUUUUCAGUGGAUUUAUAUCACUUUGCUUAUAUGGCAUGUGAUAGGCAAACACUUUGUUGAUAUAAUUUUGAACUAUGCUAGAUGAUGGAUAUUGAAUGUUAAAGUAGUUAAGUGAUAGUAUUUUAUAUGUUUUUGUACUCUAAUGAAAGUGUAUGAAAUGGUAGGUAAAUUUACUUGACUUUUAUGAGGUAAUUAAGAAUGAUUGAGUUAUGUAAAAUGGCAUGAAAAAGGUGUUUAUGGUAUUUUUGGAGGUUUGUUUAGGCAUGUUAUGAAAUGGUACAAUUACUUGUGAAAUUGGUUGAGAGAUAAGCUUGAAAUAGGUCAUUUUUGGGCACACACGACCUGGGACACGGACUGUCACACGGCCUUGUGAUGUACACGAGCAAUCCACAUGGGCGUGUUGAAAAAUAGUAUAGGUAUAGUUCUUGCACGGGCUACGAUACGACCGUGUGAGGAUACUUCGAAUGGUAUACGGGCUGACACAUGGCCUACGACACGGCCGUGUGAUCCAAAUCAGAGAGUUACACAAUCUAUACACAUGGGUGUGUGAGGUUGAACACUGGUCUCUGGGAUAGCCACAUGGCCAUGUCUGGAGCCACAUGGUCUGGGCUCUGUCAGACGGCCAUGUGACUCCUAUUUUGAAAUUUUCCAUUUUUGUCCCAAAUUUUCUAUUUUGUCUUGAAUUGGUCCCUGAUUGUUUCUAAACUAUUUUUAAGUCCUCCAAGGCUCGAUUUAAGGCCCAUAAAUGUAUGUAUUACCCUGACCUGAAUUGCUAUGAAAUUUUGUUAAUUAAAUUGGAAACUUGAUGCUUUUUGUUAUUGAUUGUUCUGGAUUGUACGGUAAUACACCGUAACCUAAUCCGAUAACGGGUACGGGUUAUGGGUGUUACAAUGCUAUAUAAUCAUGCUUAACAUUUAGCUUCCAUUCUUAAAUCACUAAUCAAUCUACUAUGUCAAUUAGUCUAAUUGAUAGCUUUAACAUGCCAAAUGAUUCAUAGGUGAGAUUAUCAUUUUUGUAGAAUUAAACUUAGUCAAAUCAUGUACCAAUUACCUUACAAGCCAUGCCAAACAUUCAAAUUUGAACAUUACCAUUAAACUAUCAACUCAAAAUGAAUUUAUGCAUACUAAGAGCCCUUAUGUACAUGCCACAAAGUCUAUACUCAAAUUGAACAUAUAACUACCAUAUUGUUGAUAGUGUAUGCUUUACGUUGAUCCGGCUCGGUAGGUUCCGAAAGGUGACAAUCUACAAGGAAAGGAAACAACUAGAGUAAGCAUACAAAAUGCUUAGUAAGUUCAAAUGGAAUUAUCAUACUUACCUUGAUCAUUAUAAGUAUAAUAUCUACUAAUCAUUUUGGCAUUCACCGUGACUAUCAUUAACAUAUAAUGAUAUAACUAGACACAUAUAAACAUUGUCAAUCAAGUAUGUUAAUCAUGUUUUCAUAUCAAAAUUAAUAUCAAUACAUUAAGGAAAUCACAUAUCUAUCACAUAUAAGAUAUCAUGCAUAUACUAUCUCAUUUCAAAUUCACAUUCAGGUUUUCCGGUUCCAUUCAAUUGAAUAUCGCCCGAUGGAAUUAUAGUAAAAUAGACUCAGAUAUACAGGGUGAAUAAGUUGCUCACACAAGUUGGCAUUUUAUCAGGGUUGCUCACACAAGCUAACAUUUUAUCAAAGUUUUUUACACAAGCUAACUUAUAUUAGGUUACCCAUCCGAGCUAAACCUAAAUUACAUUUAACUCGAGAAUCUGCAACAAAUGCUAGACCUCAUUAUAACCAAUAAGAAAUUCAUUGUUAGUUAGUUUUAUUUUUAGACUGUUUAUAGCAAUCCGAUUAGCAAUAACUAAGUAUAGGUCCAUUUGUGACGCUCUAUACUCGGAUCCAGUGGAUGUGUCGUACGUGGGGUAUUACAUAAAUUAUACAUUAAUGUGAUAUCAAUGAUGAUUGUGUAUAUAAAUAUAAGUGCUUAUAAGAUAAGUAUGUAUGGAGAUGAAUGAUGGUGUAGUUUGCAUAUGGUUCAUGUAGGUACAUGUUUGAAAUUGUAUGUUUUUGUAGCAUAAUGUUUAUAUUUAUCAUGUUUGGAGGUGGUAUAUUUAUCAUGUUUGGAGGUGGUUUAGUAUUGUAUGUUUUAAACUUGGUUUUUGAUUCCUAUAAGUCAAUGUUUUGGUAUUGAGAUAUUAGGUGUCCAAACAAGCGAGUUUUAAGGUAAUUUUUGGGUCAUGGCAUAGAGGUAUCAAUACUUGGACCCUAUGAUAUCGCAACAAGUCAAACAUAAUGUCAAGUUCUACAGUGCUAAGGACUUGUAUCAGUAUAACUGGGAACUUGUAUCAAUACCACAGUGUUUGAUCAAGUCCUUAUACUAUUUGGAACUCUUUUGAUCUAUUAAGGCUUGUUUUUUUUUUUUGUCUUGGACACCUAAAAAUAGUUUUAAAUAAUUUCAACAUGGUUUUAAAGUCUUAAAAUUAAUUGAUCUAUUUUCUAUGAUUUUUAUAAAAUGUUUUAAAGAUUCUACUUCCUAACUUAAUGUAAUGAAUGGUAGAUCGUGAGAUAGUUGUUAUCAAUCUAACUUGAUUCAAGACAAACAUGAGUUCUCAAAAAAUUAUUUAGAAAGUUCUGUCAGCUACUGACAUCAGAAUCUAAGAAUUUUCCCAUUACAUUCCCGAGAUUCUUCGCUGGACUUUCUGAAGCAAUCCUCGGCGGCAAGUCGUGUACAUGAACCCAAAAAUCUAUGAGCAAGAAUUCCACAUCCUUCAUAUUUUCCCCUUUUGAAAGCUGACGAAUAAGGAAGCCAUGUGCCUCCAAAGAUAAUCUCCUCCAUAUCAAUCAUGUGAGAAAAAUGAAUCAAGUAAAGCUCAGCAUCUCCAAUUGACUUAAUACUCGCCCCUUGUAGUGGCUUCCAUAAAGAGAGACGAGUUGUCACCAUAGUAGCAAAAUUGAUAACCCUUUGGCUGAGUAAUUUACCCACAAAGCAGAGAUCGGAAGCUGCAAUGAACUCCUCACAAUCAAGAAGUAAUUCUUUAUCUUCAUUUUCUUAAAUUGUUGUAUUCUGAAAGUCCAACUCCAUAGUAGAAAAGAGAAAUACGAAACAAAGAAAAAAAAAA